AGUUUUGUUGCUAUUCUUUAAGCACCAUUAGAGCAUGUAGGCUUAGAAAAACCUACAAGUACUUGAAAGAAAUUCAAGUAAACACUUGCUUUCAAAUAUGUUUUUGUUGGGAAAAAAUUACUUACAAGCUUAUGCAUAUGCUUGAUCGCGUUUACGAUAAAGUAAUGUUACGUAUAAGUACUUUUUUGUGAAUUAUGUUCUAGUUUAAUUAGAAGCUACUUAUUUCCGAAGAUUUUUAUUUCAAGAACUUAUAUUUUCUUAAAACUGUGCAGGGGCUCGGAGGAUCACGGGAAGACAGCGACAAAAUAUAAAUCAGAGAAGAGGAGUGAGAUGGAAGCUGAGGGUUACAGAAUUAUGGGCAAUUCUGGAGAUCAAUGGAGUGAUUUGUUGGGUUCUUCCAUUUCAAAACGUUCAUUUAAGCUUCCCAAUCCCAUGUAUUACAUCCCUUGAUGACUUCUGAUUGGAUUCUUUUUUACUGAUUUUUAGUUGGAUACUUUUUUUAUUCAAAUGUUCAAUAAGUACCUGUACAAAUUGGAUAGAACAUCAUUCUUCUGAUCCCGGAAAGCUGUUGAAAACGGGAUUGAAUAGUACAAGGCAGUAUCAAAGAAUGGAGUGAUUUGUUGGGUUCUUCCAUUUCAAAACGUUCAUUUAAGCUUCCCAAUCCCAUGUAUUACAUCCCUUGAUGACUUCUGAUUGGAUUCUUUUUUACUGAUUUUUAGUUGGAUACUUUUUUUAUUCAAAUGUUCAAUAAGUACCUGUACAAAUUGGAUAGAACAUCAUUCUUCUGAUCCCGGAAAGCUGUUGAAAACGGGAUUGAAUAGUACAAGGCAGUAUCAAAGAUGUUAAAUCUUAUUUAUCCAGUGUACCAAACAUGCGUUAUUUUGUGUCGAAUAUAACUUAUUUAGUAAUUAUAUGAUAUUGGUGGGUAAAUAUUAUCCACUGUCAUCAAACUUUUAAAGCACACUCCAUUCAAUCACUAAAUUUUUAUUUGUUUUAGUUGGGUCACUACAUUUCAAUUUAGUUCUAAAUUUCAUUAUUCUAAUGCCUGCAGUUCCCAAAAUUGACAGAAAUUGCUUGGUUGAGAGCUAAAUUAUAAAGAAUUUUUCACUUAGUUGCUACCCUACCCUAAAUACCAACUAAGUAAGGAUCAUGUGGAAAUACAAAAUGUAAUGUUAUCCGACUAGAGGUGGCUUUGAUUGUAACACUUUUUCGAUAUGACAUGGUCAUAAUUUUAGUAUAUCAUACAAUUUCAUGUAUAGUGGAUUCAUUUAUUUUGGAGACAACAUGUGAUGAAAAUGUACGUGAAAUGUAAAGCUAAAUCAAAGUUUAAUGAUUUGAUUGAGGUUUCUCUGUAAGUUAUAUGAUCGUAGAUUAAAUUUACGCCAUGUCAUCUUAUUUUAUACCAUAAUAUGACUUAUUUUCAUGUUAAUAACCUCAAUCAACUAUUGCUUUGUUAUAAUAUUGGAAUUACUCCUUAUUUGAAGGUGAUUAGUGCCAACUAACUUGCAACUACAUGUAUUGAUACAAUUUAGAUGUACUUUUUAGAACAAUUCAAGUAUCUGAAAUAUUUACAGUUAAGUUUCAUUCACUGCUAUUCAACUUUUAAAUGAGUCAUUUAAUUUUAAUUUAUAUUGAUUGAGUUAUUGAACUUUAAUUUAAUUUUAAAAUUCUUUAUUCUUGCGUUCAAAUUGUUGGACAUAUUUCAAAUGAAAGUACAAAAUUAUUUUAUUAAGAGAAUGUUUAGUUAAAAAUGAGUCUGAAGAGGAUGCGCUUUUAGCGAAUGUGGCUCAAACAAGAGCUAUAAUUGCAUUUAAUAUUUGUGCAAAUAAUAAAAUGUUCCAUGAUCAUGGAUAUUAUUAUAAAUUGAGUAGUUAAAUUGUUAAAUACAAAUAGAUUCAAUUUAUAUAGUGAUAAAAAAUAACCGUCUCGAUCAAUAAAUAAGUAGAACACUUUGUGUUUUUAGCAUCGUAUUAUAUUUAUUGAAGUUUGUGUAGGUGACGAUUUACAGAAUUAAAUGUUUUUUAUAGUUAAAAGUUUGUAUGAAAUCAUGCAGCCAAUUUUGUUGCACUAUCCACAUGGACGAAGGGUACAUGAAAAGGAAUGGAGAAGCACAUUUUCCCCCGAGUCACGGUGGCAAACUUCCCGAAAUUCUCGACUACUUGUAUUUGACAAAUCAUAGUGUUUAACAAUUUAGUUUGUCGCAAUGAGCAAAAUAUUUCCAUUCAGAAUAGACCAAACUACGUUCAUCUCGAAAACCUGAUGCCAUGAACUUGUUUCUUCAUCAAUUAGAACCCUGAUGGUAAACACGUUCUUGUUUAAUUUUACUAAACAUAUAGAAUUGUCUGAAUUUCCCCACUUAAAAAUAAAUAGUUUGCAAUCUAGGCCAAGGCCAUUUCAAGAAUUUUGUAACACGGUUCUUGACAUAUCCUGUGGCCUUGGAAAUAAUAAUCAUCCAUGCUUAAAAUAUAAGCCAUAAUGUAUGAUAUCAACCGCAGUCUGAUAGACCACUCCAUUGUGAGUAUUGUUUCGUAACAAAUAUUUCUGCAUGCACCAAUCUUCACUCUUCCUGCAUCUUUCUAAAUUUUCUCUCUGAAUGAGUGUAUUUUAACUUGAAAUCAUAAGUAAUUUUGUCCACCUUGAAUACAAUUUUUAUGUCUAAAUCUCUAUGAUCAGAGUAACCGAUACUGGGUUGCUGGAUUAAAAAUAAAAUACGGCUUUACAUUUUCUAACACAAAUUAACCCAUUACUCGAACCAAAAACCUCACCGGUCCUUGUUAUAAAUUCAAGAGAAUUGAAAGGCACGNCAUUCUUUUUGUAAUUAUGAUUGAGCAUAAAUUUGCAUUUUCAAGUUAACAAAUUUUAUUUAAAUGUAAUAACAACAAUUUCUAUAUAAAUUUUUGGUUGACGAGUCACGUGUGAUUAUGCCAUGUUUGGUUUUACUAUGAAUCGGAUUCUAAAUAAAUAUUAAUAAAAUAUGUAGUUCAAAAUUUAUUGUUAAUUUUGACUUAAAAUUUCUAUCAACUUAUCUAGUUAAAUUAAAUAGGGAAUAUAUUUUUAGAUUAAAGUAAAAUCUUUUUUAGAAUUUAUAAAAAUUUCGAUAAUUUGCUUAACAUAAAAUUCCUUUUAUAUAAAUCUGUAAUCCAUAUGCCAGGACACGUUAUAAAUACACUGAUAUGUUGAUUAGAAAUUUUCAAAAUACACUGAUAUUUAUUUUAGGAUUUUACGAAAUUUAGGAUAGUUCGCUUAAUAUAAAAAUCCUUUUAGUCAAAUUUGUAAUCCUUAUUUUAGAUUAUACAAACCCUAUUGCUCACAUAAUUCUUGUUAGAAUUUCAUGCAUCUAGGUUAAUCAACCAUCAAUAUAAAAGGAUGAAAAGUUUCAUAAAUCUUGAACAAGAGAUUAGGAAAACCACAAUCACGAAAUGGCUAAGUUCUCGACUUCUUGUGCAUUUGUGACUGUCCUCAUAUCUCUCAUUACGACCGGUACAAACUUAAUUCAUUUUAUUUCGAUUAUCUUAUUUCUAUACGCAUAUAACUAGUUGAGAUUGAGACUAAGAAAACCUCAAACGAAUACUUGAAUUUGCAAUUUACAUGAAGUACAAGUAUAAAUUGGUUUGGUAAAGAGGAUGAUGCAGAAUUCGAUAGUAAAUUAUUUGACAUUCAUGAAUCAUCGAAUAAUAUUGACAAUAGUUAAAUUAUAUGAAUGCAGGUUCAAAGGCUUAUUUUACUAGAGAUGUUUGUACACUAAAUCUUGAUUUUGCGUUACAAACUCGUGCGUGAAUGUAUGUGAAAGUUAUGUUGGAGGAACUUGUCUCGUAGAACUGAACAUAGAAGAAAAUGGUCAAGUCGUGGUGAUCAACAUUUUUAUUGUUCCUGUCAUUUCUACUGUCGUAAAAAGAACGAGGCAUUAGCCCCCGACUCAAGGGUGCAACUCUUGCCAUGAACAUUUUCUUAGCAAAUUGAUUGAAGAGGUAACUAAAAAUAAAUAAGGACAGUGUUGAAAUAUUUAAUGAAAUAACAUCUUAUGAAUAUAUUCUAAACAUUCACUAGAAAUUGCAGCACAAAUUUCAGCAAGUUCUUAAAAUCUAUUGUCUUGUAUAUUUAUGGUGCUCCAAUUAUAUAAUUAAACCAGGAGGAAAAAAAGACGGUGGGACAACAAUGAGCCUCGAUGGUGGGAAUAAGGGUUUACGAAAAUAAGGUUUAUUUAUUAAAUUAUUAAUUAUUUUCCUCUUUUUAUUCUAUUUAAUUGAUGGUAUAAUCAUUAUUAAUUAACUAAACAAAAUUCCGUGAUGUAAAAUGUAUUAAAAUUUAGUAUUGUCUUUUUAAAAACAAAAUUUAUCAAUAAAUGGACAAACGAUCAUAAGUUGCAAAUUAAAGACUCGAUGAUAAAGAUAUCGAUAAAUAUUCCAGUGCUCUCAAUUUCAAAAAAAUAGUAUGGAAUUAAGAUCUAAUUAAUUUGUUAAAUGUGAUAAACACCAUUAAAACUAAGAUAGAGAAUAUAUACUUUUGAAAUUUUUAUAUUAUAUAAUUUGUUUUCGAAAGAGAUGAAAUUUAUUGUCUUGAAAUUCCUACCUUGAAGACAUUUUUGAUAUCUCAAUAUAUCAUCUUUUUAUAAGCAAGUGAAAAUAAGUCGUCUUAUUUAUUGUCACUUAGACAUAACUUGAUAUCCUCUUAUUUGUAAGACAAUGUAAUAUGUUGAAGUAGGGUUGGGUUGGAUUGAUUUUUUAUCAAACUCAAACUUAACCCAACAUAGUCGAUUUGAUCUAAAAUCAAAUCAAUCCAACCCAACUAUUAGUUUAAACCCAAUCCAACCCAAACUAAUUAAGCUUGAGUUGGUUUGAGUUGUGUUGGUCGGUUUGGGAUUGAGCUUUCAAAAUUGGAUCCAAUUAUUUUUUGUUGAAUUUGAAUAAUUUUUAAAAUUUGAAUCCAGUUGAAAAUCUCCGAUAUUUUUAAUCUAUGUAAAAAAUUCCUUUUGAAAUUAAUUUAUAAAUAAAUUUGAGACUAUGACGAAUUUUCUUUUUAUAUUUUUUUUGAAAUUUAUUUAUUUCAUUAUCGCGUCCCUAAUUUUCAAUCUAUCAUCAAAUCAUUUUGCAUUUGCGUAGUAUUCAUACCAAUCAGCCUACAUAAAAAAGUUGGACAUUUGUAUAUUCUAAAUUUUUCUCAUGUCUUCACUAUUGUGUCUAUUUAGAUUUUUCAAUUCUAGGUAUUAAAUUUUUUAAUUCAUCGGAUUGGCAGUAGUAGUGACACCUUAUUGCAUGUUUUUAGAGCACUGUUCGCUCGUUCAUUUGAAGCCUGUGAAGUGUUUCCGCAGCACUGUCGCGGGGUGCUACUUAUGUCGUGGUGGCGACGAUGAUGACUUGGCUUGGAUGGUAGGCAAGUGAUGAUGGGUAUGGUGUGUGGUUAACACAAAGAAGGUAGAGAGUGGAGAAAUAGGAGGGAGAGAAAAAUGAAUUGGCGAUGUCAGGGAUUGAAAUUUGGGGUUGGGGUUGGGGUUGAGAUUGGGUAAAAUAAAUGGUUUGUUGUAAUAAAUAUGUAUUAACUAAUUAAUUAAAUUUAUAUUAACACCCGAUUUGUGAAUUUUAAACUUCAUCAUCCCUGUUUUUGAAUUUUACAUUUGAAAUGUAGGAUUUUGGGUAAUUUUCUCAUUUGAGAUGGUGGAUCUCAAUUCCGAAACAACAAAAAGAAGUCUUAUAAAUUAUAAUCUAAUUCUAAGCCAAACGUGGUCUUGGGCCUUAUCCAAUCACAAUAAUGCGCAUACGAGUCUUAACACAUGGACCCGAGGAUUCAACUAUCCAUAAAACCUAGAUCCAUUCCACAGCUUUCUAUUUCCCCAAUUCUUCAAAUCCAGCCCUCCCUCCCUCUCUGUCUCUACUCUCAUGGACACUAUACAAUCGAACUACAUGGAUUCUCCAUCUGAACCUCCCUCCGAGUCACAACAAUAUUCAAAUAUUCAGAAUUAUUCAUACUCUUAUCCUGAAAACCCAUCGGACCCAUCGGAUUCAUAUACCGAAACUCCAUUGGAAAAAACCCUAGAUUCAUCACAUAAUCCGAAUACUGAAGAUGGAGCUACGAAUGGAAGUGCGCCAAAACCCGAGAUGCCGAAGAUUUUGGUUUCGGAAAAUGGGUUGACCAAUAGCACCGACAGGGAUUUUUCCGGAGGCGAAGAGGAGACGACCAGCAGGAAGCGACGGAGGUCCCGGUGGGAUCCUCCACCGAGCGAAUCGAGCAACGAUGGGGCUGGACCUGGAGGAUUUGAUAAUAAUAGUGGAACUGGUGGGAGGAAGCGAAAGUCCAGGUGGGCCGAUGACGAGCCGAAGCCCGUGAUUCAGUUGCCUGAUUUCAUGAAGGAUUUUACUGGAGGUAUUGAAUUUGAUCCCGAGAUUCAAGCUCUGAAUAGUAGGUUACUUGAAAUUAGUAGGAAAUUGCAAUCUGGGUUGCCUUUGGAUGACCGUCCAGAGGGUGCUAGGUCGCCUUCUCCUGAACCUAUUUAUGAUAACAUGGGAAUCAGGAUUAAUACUAGGGAGUAUCGUGCUCGUGAAAAAUUGAAUAGGGAGAGGCAAGAGAUUAUAUCUCAGAUAAUUAAGAAAAAUCCAGCAUUUAAGCCACCUGCAGAUUACAGGCCGCCUAAGCUUCAUAAGAAGCUUUACAUUCCGAUGAAAGAGUAUCCAGGUUAUAAUUUUAUUGGACUGAUUAUUGGACCAAGAGGGAACACUCAGAAGAGGAUGGAAAGAGAGACGGGGGCAAAGAUUGUGAUUCGGGGUAAAGGUUCGAUGAAAGAAGGUAGGCUGCAGCAGAAUAGGAAUUUGAAGCCUGAUCCUUCAGAAAAUGAGGAUUUGCAUGUUUUGGUGGAGGCUGAUACUCAGGAGGCUCUUGAUGCUGCUGCAGGUAUGGUUGAGAAGCUCUUGCAGCCGGUUGAUGAGGUUCUUAAUGAACAUAAAAGACAACAGCUUAAGGAGCUUGCGGCAUUGAAUGGAACUAUUAGGGAUGAGGAGUAUUGUAGGUUGUGUGGUGAGCCGGGGCAUCGGCAGUAUGCAUGUCCUUCUCGAACUUCAACAUUUAAGAGUGAUGUUUUAUGUAAGAUAUGUGGUGACGGUGGGCAUCCUACAAUUGACUGCCCAGUGAAGAAUACUACGGGCAAGAAAAUGGAUGAUGAGUAUCAGAGUUUCUUGGCAGAAUUGGGAGGCACUGUUCCUGAGUCUGCAACCAAGCAAAAUUCUGCAACACUUGCCCUUGGCCCUGGUAGUUCAGGAACCAAUCCUCCUUGGGCGAGUAGUAGUAACAAUACACAAGCUGGUUUGGGGUCUAGCAUAAUCAAGCCAAAGGAAUAUGAUGAGACAAAUUUGUAUAUUGGGUAUCUGCCACCUACCAUGGAUGAUGAUGGUUUGAUCAGCUUGUUCUCUCCAUUUGGUGAAAUUGUGAUGGCUAAGGUUAUAAAGGACCGGCUAUCUGGUCUGAGUAAAGGAUAUGGAUUUGUUAAAUAUGCUGAUGUCCAACAGGCUAAUAAUGCCACUGCGAGUAUGAAUGGCCACAAACUAGAUGGAAGAACUAUUGCAGUGAGAGUUGCCGGUAAACCUCCUCAGCCUACUGUGCCACCGGGCCCUCCUGGUCCAGUAAUGCCGACUUAUCCUUCUCCGAAUCAGCCUGCUGGAGCCUACCCAUCUCAACAGUAUAAUGUAGGUGGUCCAAUUGGCAGUGCGCCAAUGGGGAGCUAUGGCGGGGCUCCAGUUCCAUGGGGACCACCUCCACCUCCUCCUUAUGCAUCUUAUCCUCCACCUCCUCCGGGUUCAACCCUGUAUCCUCCACCUCCUCCUUAUGGAGUGCAAUAUCCUCCACCUAUGCCACAAGCAUCUUCUGGUACCCCAUCACAGACUGUUUCUUCUAUUGAUGCGCAACAAAAUUAUACAUCUUCUGGGGAGUCACAGCAAAAUUAUCCACCUGGAGUGCAAUCUCAGAGUAGUGCACCUGCUCAAUCUGCUCCAACUUAUGUCUAUGGAAAUUCUGUGACAUCCAUGCCGCCGAAUGCCCAAGCUAUGUAUCCAAUGCCUUCAUACAGUUACCCAUCUUAUUAUAGUUCAGUUCCUCCUCACCCUCCUCCUGCUGUGCCUCAGCCACCUGUUGACUCUUCCCAAAGUUUGAAUAAUGUUCCUUGGGCCUCAAAUCCACCUGUACCUCCACCUUCAUCAUCUGCGGAGAAGAGCAGCUAUAGCACAGAUGCAGAAUAUGAGAAGUUCAUGGCGGAAAUGAAAUGAUGAUACAAUCUUCUAGGAUGGCCAUUUAGGAUGAAGGGUAAACACGCUGGAUUCUUUUCCUUAUGUGUCUUGCAUAUAACAUGAUAUAAUUGUUUAUUUUAGGGCAAGAAUUGUCUCAACUCCAUCAAAUUGUAAUCACAUACCAUCUGACAUCUGUUGAUGUAAGACUUGUGCUGUUCAUAUGGUAAUAGAUGGCUGGAGAUUUCAUUGAGGGAAUUGGGAGGACAAGAAAAUUGAACUAAAUAAAUCUCACAUCUUUUUACCAUGGUGGUUGGUUGUGAUGUGAGUUUAACACUGUUCAUCGGCCAAUAAUAUGCGAAGAGUACAAUAUGUUUUCUUCUCUAGCGGGAGAAGAGAACAAAAAUUUGAUGCAACAGUUCACUUUUUACCUAUUUUCAUUUUGUUUUUUUCUCCUUUUUGUUUGUGAGAGUUUUGAUGAGAGGGGGUUGAAGUUUCACUAUGCCUAUGGAGUAACCUGACUUGGUCAAUCAAAUUUUGUCAACUUAUUCUUCAUGACUUUUCCUUUUCUGUUUGUAAUGUUAACUGGCGACGUGGUACAAUGAGGAUGUUCAAAUAUUGGUGGGAUGACUUAGGUGAUUGCUACAUUCAGGGCCGGCCUUGGCAUAAGGCCUACAAGGCAAAGGUCUUGGGCCUCAACACUUUUGGGGGCCUCUAAAAAAAUUUCCACCCUAGCAUUUCUCUUUUUGAAUGAUCCAAAUUUUAAUUUAAUUACUAUUGUUGAUUAGAGCAAUGUAUUCUACUAGAAACUCAAAGUUUAAAGGAUUUUGACUUGGAUCUCUCAUUUAUGCAUAGAUGUAAAGAAAAAAAAAUAUAGUGGUGUUGUUUUUAUAUUAUAUUUUAUUGUUUUGAGUUUAUUAAGCAGUUAGAAUUGUUUACUUUCUUUCUCUAUAAUGAGAAGAUAAGAAAUUCAGCACCCUUUUGUUAGCAUCACUGUUAUAUAUGUAUGUUUCUUCCAUUUGUGAGUUAAAAUUGAAGAAGUACACAAACUGAAAAUGCUUUGUUACAAGCUGUAAAUUAACUUCCAUAUUUGAUUCAAUGCUUGGUCUCUUGAUAAUGAGAUUUCCCAUGGAAAAUAAAUGAAAACUCAAAAAGUUGUUUCGUUCAAGAAAAAAAAAAAAAAAAAAAAAAAAAAAAAAAUAAUAAUAAUAAUAAUAAUAAUUAUCUUUAAAGGCCUCGUAAUAAUUAGUUGCUUAGGGUGUCAAAAUUCUCAGGAUCGGUCCUGGCUACGUUCUCGAGUGGAUCUAAAGAAUUCCUCAGUUACAGGGACGAUGUGAUCCUAGUAGACCAUGUUAGAUGAUCGGGAGGUAAAAAGAUCUAAUUUAUUGUAUCUUUCACUAGAUGUAUAGAUACGUGAAGUACUGAAAAUGAUUAAUUUAUAGAACUCCAAAUUUGUUGAUAGUUAGGCUUAUGUAGUUAUUCUAUUUCGAGGUGAUGUCCAAUUGAGGGCAUUAUGAUUCUGCUAGAUUAGGCUCCCUGGUUUGCGAGAUGGUUGAUUUGACUCUAACAAGUGACACAGGGCAUGUAUGGGCAAGAGGUUCUAGAAUCUAUAGUUUCUUGAAGAAAUUUUCUUUAUUGAAAAUGUGUAUGUAUGCCUCUGGCUGUAGCUUGACUCUUAAGUUCACUCUGGACUCUGGGUAUUUCCAUUAGUCACAGAACUUGAAAGUAGCCUGUCUUUAUUUUCUAUCAUAUCCAUAGUUUGAUGAGUUUUCUUUUUCUUUUUCAUUUUUUCUCUAUCUUUUUUUUAUUUAUUAUUUUAUUAUUUUUUUUACUGUCUUUAAUAUAUAUCUAAAGAGGAGAAAAGAACAUAAUUUAGUACACCUACAGCAAUACACAGAUUAUGUUUUGGUGUUGCCUCGUAUAAAUUGUUGUUUAAGUUGUGUCGAUAGGCAUAUUCUGAUUGGGUAUAACUAUCUAUGUUGCCAGUCAGCGCCUUCGCUGCCAUUUAUAGAAAUCACUGUCUUUGACCUCAUAAUUCUGCUUGAUAAUAUUUGUUUAUGCAUAUUUUCACGUUUGGUGCGAGACUACUUAAUUAUUAUAUCAUGAAUCAUAACACUUGUUUCUUUGUCGUCAUUGUAAUAUUUUGACAGGCUGUUUGUUGGAGCACUUGUCAUCCUGAUUUGUUAUCUCUUGCCCUGACUUACUUGUUGGAAGUUUGGGACUCACAUCUUUAACCUUGCUGUACUGUUAUGACCUUUGCAGAGAGUUGCCACAAAGUUCAGUUCACCCAGCCUUGUGUUGCAGGACUCGUUCAGAGAUUUAUUGCUAUUGGUUAUUCCUUUUGUAGGACUACCUUCUGUCUUUUAUGAGUGUUAUUUUACUUUAGAGCAUCUGGACCUCUCAAAUUUGAUUUAUAUUUUAUGUUUGAAGUUCUUAAUAUUUGGUUUGUCAUUAUUUGCGGUCCUAUCUAACGAUUACUCAGGUGGUGCACUAUGUGCAUUGUUUUCUGCUUCUAAUUUGCUCCCACUUUUAGUUUAUUGAUCUAUUCCUUUUAAGUUUGACGAUUCCACAUUGUUGUAGUUCCUGUCUGUGAAAGCAGGUUAAUGCUUGCUUCUACAAAUCAUUGCCAGAAGGUGUGUGCAUCUUAAAUUGUGAGGUUACCUGGGGUAUGUUAAUAUUAUAAAUUAUUUUUUAUAUAUGUAUCCUGUUCUUUUUCCUAAUAUUUUCUCUCUGGUGUCUUUUUCUAGUGGCUGUAUGGCAGGUAAAGUGAUUGUGCCAGAUUUAAUGUUGUGUUCUCGAGUAUUUCUUUCUAUGUGAAUAGGUUGUGCUAUUCUUAGGGCUCUUAUUAAUUAAAGGAAUUCAGGAGUGAAAUCAUUUGGUUGUGGUGGUUGAUGGUUUUGAAUGAGUAAUUGCAGGAAGAAUAUGUGGUAUAAAUCAAGUGGUUAGUAGGAUUUGGUUGGAGUUUAAGAAGUCUGAGAGGAAUGAUGGUUUAAUCUGUAUAUGAAUGUAGUUAAAUUGGUAAAUUACUUUCGGUUACAUAACCAUGAAGUUCUAUUAGCUGGUGUCAAAGUAUAGUAACUACAUUGUAGGAAGAUAUUAUUUGUUUCUCAGCUUCAAAGCAAUUAUUUACAAGUAUCUAGAGGCCUCUUGUGAUAGAAUUCAUAUCUAUUGUGAAUUUCCUAUUUAUCUGGAGGAGGAAGAUGGAAAAUAUAUUUGCAUAACAAUGAAUUGGUAUAUUCUUGUAGAUCCUUCAUCUCUAAAGAUUUCUCCCGUGCAUACUUCAUUUUCUCCAUAGGAUUGCCUCAAUGUGAGUGCAUGUGUUGCUGUUGAUAAACCUUAUGUAUGAAAUUAGAUAUUGAUUGUUAGGAUAUGACUUUGUCCUGCUGAGUUGCAUAAUGUCAACCACUUUGAAUGUUAUCGUGUAUUCGAAAAGGCUAAUUAGAAAGGAAAAAUGAAUUCGUUCUAGAUGGUAAUGUCAUUUGCUAAGGGUGUUCUGAAAGUUAAGAGAUGUCAAGUUCCUGGCUAUUGAUCUUUGUGAAGUUAUGCACCAUUGUUAAUCGUGUCCAAUUGCAAAUUGAAGUGGUUAUAUUCAUGCUUUUAGAUAUUCUAUUUCUUGUACAUAUUAUAAACUUGCUUUUACAUGUGCCUUAAUUGGAAUGUGAGCAACAACUCAAAUAAUUUUGCAUUGUCAUCUUGUAGUUUAAAGAGUUCGGUCCAAAUAAAAUGAUGUCUAAAUACUUUUUAUUUUUCAAUUAUUAUGUUACUCACAUUUUAACUAACUAUCCAUAAUGAGUUUUAUACAUAUAACACACAUUAUUUGUUAGUUAUAAUUUAACGGUUCAACAAGGGACCUGUAGAUUGAACGAGUAACCCAUGGGUCAAAAUUAAUGACGUAUAAUUUAACUUCCAAAUCAUGUCUGGUAACUAUGCCGCUAUCCCUUUUGCCCCAACUUAUAUUUUCUUAUACCUCUUUUGCAUAGUGAAUUCAUCAAGCACAUCCUGUGCUUAAUGCGUAUUAUUUGUUCGUAUUGGUGUAGUAGGUUUCAUUUAUAUAUUGAGCCCUUGUUUGAGCCACAUUAUUGAAAUGAAAAUGCAUUUUUGAAUGGUGUAUUGAUGGGGAAUGUGUAGUUAAAAAUGAGGAAAAAUUUUGGAUUUGCGUGUAAUAUUAUUUUAUUGAAAAUGUGUGGUUAAAAUGAUGCCAAAUCAUUGUUGAAUAAUGCAUUUUUUUCAAAUAAUGUGGUUCAAAUAGGACCUGAGUAAUGCUAUUUAGCCCUAUUGGGGUUGCAAUUUUCAUUUUUCAUUUAAUCUAUCAUUUAAUGUUAUUAAAACUGGGAUUGCAAUUUCAAUGAGGCUACAUAGCAUUACUCAUAUAUUAUACAUGUCAAUUAAAUAGAAGUAUAUGAUAUUGAGUUUUAGAAAGUACUAGAAAUAUUUCCAUUCUCAAGCACGAAUUCGAAGAGGAUGGAGCAUGUUGGCUGCAGUUGGUCCAUGCUGGUGCAGAAAAUAGUGGUUGAGUUGCUCAAAAUCAAUUGUUUGAUUUCCUUGUGAAUCCGGAAUUGGGAUGAAGCUUCAAAAUUUGAUCCGACAAAUUUGCAGCCUUCUUUUUUGGUUAAGUCCAAUUUGCAUAAUUCAAUUCUGUUUGUGAAAAUUAAAAUUGAGAAUAUUGAUUCUUGGUUAUAAUACUUAGGUCCCGUUUGUUUCCCAUUUUUAUAAGAAUGAAAAUGAAAAAUAUAGUUGUUAUGGGCUUCUACAUGAGAUAGAAUUCAAAUAUGGUAACUUGAUGUGAUGAAUAAAUGUCAUAUUUUUUAUUUUAAUGAGAAAAGAAUGGAUAACAAACAUGGGCUUAUAAAAGGAAAUCUGGUCUAGUUUGAUGUGUAAUAUAUCGAUGGUAGUUUUGAAUUUGAUUAGUCUUUACUAAUUUUAUUUUUCUCUCCAGACAUUUUAACGAAUUAAUGAACGGAAAGGAGUAACCACGCAUCAAAAUAGAUAGGUUGGGAAUCAAGUCGUGACAAUGUGUAUAAGUUUGGGACUAGUGCUGCAAUUUUCCUAUAUUACUUUUUUUCCCAUAAAGAAAGAAAUAUAUCCGAAUCUCCUUUAUAGAAUCUUUUAUGAAAUCGUCGUGUCAUGCGACAAUAUAUAUUACAACUGCGUAGCGCUAUUUUUUUUCUCAAUUAAGACCGAAAUUUCAACCAUCCACCAAUUGAGCCCUGUUUAGCUCUCAUUGUUUUCAAAUUCCCCUUAUCUUAAAAUCUAGAUCUUUAUGCACUUAAAAAAUAUAUGAAAGAUGUCAUAUUCAUCAUUUGAAGCUGCUUCAAUUAAUUUGAAUUUUAUUUUUUUUUUCAUGCCGAAAAUUAGUUAUUUAACAAGAAAAAGGCAACGAAGAAUAUUCGGAGGGUGAAUCCAGCGUAGCUAAGCUGGAUGAGGCGUAGAACAUUUCAUCCAACAUAUCUACUGCCCUCGUAAGUGAAUAUACCAACUGAUCUGUUCACCAUGUGUUUGCGAAAGUGCUGGUGGAGAUGAGCAAUCAAUGGUAAAAGUGCAGCGGUGGGUAUUCUUGGUGGGUUGGCAGAAAUGGCCAACUGGAUGGAUUGUGAGAAUGCUUGUUCAGUCAACUGCAGAGGUGUGGCGGCAGAUGGUGUUGAUGGGGCAGAAGAAAUGGCUGACUGGGUGGGUUGUGAGAAUGCUGGUGGAGUCAACUGUGGAGAUGUGGCAGCGGUUGGCAGUGAUGGGGACGGUGUCGAUUAUAUGACAUUGUCAGGUGGAGAGAUGGCAGCAGUUGGCUGUUGGCGGUGAUGGGGCAGUGUCGAGUUAUGACAUUGCGAUCAGAGAAAUUGAGUAUUGCUUCGUCGCCUCUGAACCUCAAGGCGGCCACGUCGUAUGCUCUGGCAGCAGCCUCGACUGUGUUAAAUGUUCCUAACCAAGUACUGAAGGUGGUUCUUUGUGGAUCCCUUAUAUCUGCUGACAAUCUGCCCAAUGGCGUUUGUCUGAUUCCUCUGAAUCUUCUUUUCUGUCUUGUUUCUUCACGUGAAGGCCCAUACUUAUUUGAUUUUGCCGUUUUUGCUUGGUCCCGGCGACAGGCAUCUGUAGGUUUUGCAAUAUUUGUUUGUUCCAGUCUCUCGCUCUGUUGGAAUAAAACAUUACACAAAAUAACUGUUGUAAGUACUGAAUAGUUUUCCUUGAGAAUGUAUAUAAUAACACAACCUAAAUUCGUAUUAGCCAACCGUUGGUUUAAGUCCAUUAUUCACUAUUUCUCUUGAAGGCACCACAUUACCAUCUCUUUGAAGAUAGUUCCAAAUAUAUGAUCAGAAAAUUCAUUAACAACAACUAUGCAAUAAACAAUGGCAAGAAAUGCAAGGAUGGUGAAUGAGUAAUGUUAGCCUUCGAAGAGCCAACCCGCGAACUAUGUUUGUUACCGGUGAAGAGAAGGGAGUUUCGGCUCACCUAGAAGUUGCGAAUCAUCUUUCAUAUCCAGGCUAGCUACAAGCUGUCAAUGAGAGCAUGUGAGCAAAGUGAAUAAAGCGUGAUUCUAUGACAAAAUUAGUUAUGAGGCAGUCAUUAGGGAGUCACCAUUUUUCAUUCUUUCCAAAAUGAUUAGAUUACCCCCAUUGUUUGGAAGGAAAUCUAUAAAUACCCUUUCAUUUAAAGAAGGAAGCAUGCAAUUCAAAUAAUUUGCGUUAAAAUAGUUAUUUCCCUACUUGUUCUAGUUGAAACAUCUAGACUAGCAAAUUUAGAAAGUGAAACUCAUAAUAAAGUGAGAUGAUUUGUUGAUCGUAUUUAUAUUCAAUCUUUGAUUGUAAUUGUUUUGUCAAUAAAAUCGUUUGAUCUGAUUUUUACCAAGGUAAUUCUACUUCCAAGUACAGAUUCUUCCAUUUAUGGUUCUAUGAUGCCUAAUUUGUUAAUGGUGUGUAAAGUGCAACAAAGAGAUGGUGAAGGGGUUAACUAGUCAUGGAUAGCUCAAAUCUUUGUUUGACAUAAUUCAUCAACAGUGAAGAACCAGUGUACAACCAAAAUGUCACCACAAAAUAAAAUGAGAAAAAACAAAGAAAUCAAAUACAUGAUCUAAGCCAUCUGAUACUGGGGGAAUUGCAGAAACUGGGUUCGCAACAAAUUUAUAAUUUUUUUUGUUGAGUUACCUCAAAUCCUGGCGGUGAUUGGUGGUGAUGGAGUAGAAACGGGCAACUGGGUGGAUUGAGAAGCCUGGGAUGGCAUCAAGUUACCUCAAGGCGGCCUCAUCGUAUGCCUUAAUGGCGGCCUCAGCAGUGUUAAACGUACCCAACCAAACAUUUGUUGGGUUGUAAGUAAGAUUGCUACUAAAAUAAUUUUAUAGACUCGUUUACUAAAAUCCUACUGAUUAAGUUUUCGAGGGAUAUCUGCAAUACACAAGGUUGCAAGAUAUGACACAUAUAAUCUAGGACGAGUGGGAUAUUUGUUGGGUUUUGUGCCAAUUUAGUAUAUUUUGGUAUGAUAAAAUAAUCAUUUAUAAUAAAUAAAUUGUAGUUUUAUUUAUUUAUUGCAUUAUUUAUUAUUGAACAUGUAUAUUAAAGUGCCUAUGAUCACUUGUAAUAAUAUAAGUUGGAUACUUGCGUUGAGAAGUACAAUGUGACACAACUUAUAUUUUGAUCAUAAAUAAUUUGUUUACAACCAAUGUACAAAGGUUGGCACCUUGUACAUGAAGAUUGUGGUGUUGGUUGAUUCACUAUUCAGAUUUGUGAUUUGUUCUUAUAACAGAAAUUGUUAAAGGUGACACUAGUACACUUGGAGUGUAUUGAAUAGACCGCAUGUCGAAUUUAGUUUUAUAGCAUGAUCGUGCGGAGAAUUAAAUUUCAUUAGAGAGCUGGGUAUUUCAUCUAAAUCCCUUGACAUGAUUAUGUAUAUCUUUUCAUGAUUCUUUGAUUUAUUAAUGGACGAGAUCAAUUUGAUUGGUCAAAUAUCUCAAUGAGUUGAGAACUGGAGAAUGAGCGGAGUAGAGAACAUGAAUUAAUGUCGGGGAUCGUCAUCCUGAAAAAUGAGUAGAGUGACUAUUUAAGUAUUUUUUAUUGAACGGUUAAAAUCUGAGCUCAGUAUUUAGUGACGGCUAAAAUUCGACAUCUGUGAUUAGUUCACAGGACCGUUGAAGAAAAUGGAACUUAAGUUAAUAAGAAUAAUUAAAGGGGCAAAACGGUUAUUUAUGCUCAGACCUAAUUAUCGAAUCUCAAACAGGGAUAAAAUACACAUAUGGCAGGUCAGAUGAAAGUAUUAUAGACUGUGAUCUUAUAUAUUUCGAGAGUUCUGUCUUUUGCCUUUAGUGGAAAAAACAAAGACUGGUUAUUAGAUUGGGUGAUCUAGGGCUACUAGACAUGAUAUAAUUAUUGGAACUUGUAUAAUAUAUGUCUGAUCAUCUCCCUGUGGUAGCUUCAUGAAGUAUUUGAACUUAAUUACGAUAAUUAUAAUAGUUUUGGCUUUAAUUUUAAUUACAAUAAAGUUUUGUACUUAGUUGUAAUUACUAUGAAAGUUGUAAACUUAAUUAUAAUUGUGAUUUAAUUUCUAGUACUACACAUGUAAUUAAUUGGAUUUGGAUUUUAAUUAAAACACCUACUUGAAUUUUAAUUUAUUUGAAUGUGGAAUUAUUAUUGCAUAAGGAUUGAAACUCUUCUAUCUCUAUAAAUAAAGAUUAGAUGAAAUCUAGACAUUCUAAUGAAAUUGUACAACAUUCAUAAUACAUAAUUUUAUGGUAUUCAAAUUUUGGAGGAAAAUGGAAAGGAAAAAAAUAUUUUUUGUUGAUAUUUUCAAUUGUUCAGUUUAAGAAUUAGUUUAUUGAUUUAAUUAAAAGAAGGUACACACCCAACGGUGUAGUCUUGACUUUGAAAAAUACCACAGAAGAAUUUGAGGUUUAAAACAUCAAGUUAUUAGAAUUAAAAGGCUAGAAGUUCAUGAUUCAGAAUUUACUCAAGAAUUGAUUAUUGAAUUUAGGUAAAAAUUCGAAUUCUUUCUUUUUUAUAUAACACUAGUCACUAUGACGUGCGUUACACAAAUUUUGUGUUUAUCGUAUUUUUAAUAGUGUAUAAAUUUUAAUUUUUUUUGGAAAGUUUUUGAAGCAAUAUCUAAAAAUAUUUUCAUGAUAUAAGAAAAUAAUUAUAAAUUAUUUUUACAAUUGUAUAGCAGUAUGUUAUUUAGAAAAAAUAUGCUUGUAUAUUUCAUACUUAAAUAAAAAAUAUACAAAUUAUUUUGCUUGUAUUAUUUGAUAGUGUUGAUAUAAUUGAAUUGAAUGUGAAGAUUAUAUUUCUAAUUUUUGUGUCAUUCAAUAUUGUAAAAUUGAAAAAAAAAACUCUCUGCACAGUGCGGAGAGAGUUGAAUCAAGUGCAGAGUAAAAAUAAAAAAUAAAAAAAAGGUGCGGAGAGAAAAAAAUCUCUUCACACAGUGCAAAAAGAGUUGAACCAUGUGCGAAGAGUUGGAAAACUCUUUGCAUAGUGCGAAGUAAAAAAAAACUCUCCGCACUGUGCGAAACUGUGCAGAGAGAGUUAAUCUUUUCGCACAGUGCGGAGAGUUAGUCCGCACCAUGACAAAACGCUUUGCACAGUGCAUAGAGAGUUGAACCAUGUGUGGAGUAAAAAAAGUGCGGAGAGAAAAAAAUCUCUCCGUGUAGUGCGGAUAGAGUUGAACCAUGAGUGGAGAGUUGGCAACUUUUCACACAGUGUGAAAUAAAAAAAACUCUCCGCACAGUACAUAGAAAAAGAAACUCUCCGCACUGUGCGGAGAGUUGUUUUCGUAUUUUUUAAUUACAAGUCAAAUUUCAAGAUUAUAAAUUUUUCGUGUAUACAAUGAAACAGAGUCGAACAACAUGGCUCAAAAUCAAUUAUGUAUUCUUUAAAUUUCAGUCACAGCUUAAUAUCUGAGCAUGUAAAUCAUAUUUACAGUAUUGGAAAGGAGCUUUCUCGUGAUUCAUAUAAUGAAACAAUAUGUGAAUUGUAAAAAGAAGGGGAUAUUGAUAGUACCAUGGCAUUACUUUCACAAAUGGAGGCUCUAGGGUACCAUCAAAAUUUAAUAUUUUAUAUUUGUUUGAUAACAGCUCUUGGAAAUUAGAAGCAGAUACAAUUUUCAAUGAAAUUAUAUUUUCGGGUUGUAGGGCAGGAAUUAAAGUGUUCAAUGCAUUGUUCAAAAGUUGUUUGAGAAAAGGCCUUUUGGAACUUGCAGAUAAAAUCCCGAGAGUUUUUGUUUUUCUUUUCAUGCUGUGUGGAGAGAUCGUUUGCCAUCUCUUCGUACUUUGCGGAGUCUUUUUUUUCCUCAUGUGUGGAGUUUUUUUUUCUCAUAGAGUUUAUAUAUACUAAAAUUUUUUUUUUUUUUUUUUGUUGUUAGCAUGAUGCGUGUGUGGAAGAAUAUUUGUCAAUCAUCAUAAACAAAAUUCUUCACAAAAUACAAAAAAUAAAAAUGCAUAAUAAAUCUUCUUAUUACACUAAUAAAAUUACAAUAAAUUUUUUUUUACAAAUAGCAUAAAAAAAAUUAUUUUUAUCUUCAACAAAAAAAUACAUUUAAAAAUUAGCAAUUUUAUAACGAUUUUUUUUUAAUUCUCUGAAAUACAAUUAUAAAGAGAAACAAUAUUGAAUUACAACAUUUAAUACUUAAGAAAUUUAACAUUAAAUAAAUUUUAUGCAUUUAUAACAAAUUAUAAAUUCAUAUAUGCAGCUUACCGUAUUUGCAGGUAACUUACCAUAUAUACUGUCUACCAUAUUUGCAGCUGACCGUAUUUGUAGCAUACCGCAUUUGCAAAACAACUUACCGUAUUUGCACAUUACUGUAUAUGUUGCCUACCGUAUUUGUAGCUUACCGUAUUUGCAGCUUACCGUAUAUGCUGCCUAUCGUAUUUACAAUUUAUUGUAUAUGCUGCCUACUUUAUUUGUAGUUUAAUGUAUUUUUAUAUACUGAUUUUUACACUUACAAAUACUGAGAAUGCAGAAUAUCGUACAUUCACUUACCAAACCGAAUUUCAAAAAAAUUUCCAGAUUUUUAUUUUUUCAACAUAAGCAUAAAAUAAAUAUUAAAUAUAUAUGAAACACAAAAUAUAAAUGCAUAUAAAUAUGGUGCUCAAUUUUCAAUUUUUCAAUAUUGAAUUACAUAAAAUUUAGAAAUAUAAUAUUCACAUUUAACUCAAUCAUAUCAACACUAUCAAAGAAUACAAGCAAAAUAAUUUGUAUAAUCUCGUAUAUUUCUUAUUCAAAUAUGAAAUAUACAAGUAUAUUUUUUUAGAUGACAUAAUAAUGUUAUGUAAUUGUAAAAAUAAUUUACAAUUAUUUUUUUAUAUUAUGAAAAUAUUUCUAGAUAUUGUUUAAAAAUUUUUCCAAAAAACUAAAAUUCAUACACUAAUAAAAAUACGAUAACAGUCACUGUGCAGAGAUUUUUUUUUACUCCGCACUGUAUGGAGAGUUCGCAUAGAAUGUCAUAUCUCUACGCCGUGCGAAGAGAAUUUUUUUUUAUUUCGCACUGUACGGAGAGUUGAAAAACUCUUUGCAUUGUGCGGAGAGUUUAUUAUUAUUUUUUUUAAAUCUCAUGUGCAAAGAGUUUUUUUUCCUCAUGGCAGUUUAUAUUUACUAAAAUUAUUAUUAUUUUUUUAAUGCUAGUGGCAUGAUGUGUGGAAAAAUAUUUAUUUGACAUAAUUAUUUUUUUAAUGCUAGUGAAAUGAUGUGUGGAAGAUCAUUUGUUUGACAUGAACAAAAUGGAAAAUAAAAAACGAAAUCAUGCAUAGUAAAAUUGGAUUCAUUUACUAUUGCAUGAACAGUAAACCCUCAUUCCCAUUUUUAUUAGAAGUUAGAUACACGUGAAUAUCUUAACGAAUUUUUUUAUUGAAUUAAGAUUUUUUUUUUUUUAAUUUCUAGAUAAUUCCACUUCCACAUUCCAAGAACAUUGGCGGUAGUACCAUGUGAAUCCUUUAUAUUUGCAGACCAUCUGCGGUCUGUCCAAUGGCGUUUGUCUCACUCAUAUGUAUCUUGUUCUUCUAUCUUUUGUUUCUUCGUCACACAAUUCUAUUUGUGGAGUUUUUGCUCGGAGGUGUCGGGCAGCGACGGUAGGUUCUGCUAUAUUUCUUCUCCUCUCGCUCUGGAAUGAAAAUAGAACAAAAUUAUUGUUGUAGACUUCUUGUUGGUGUAUAUACAUUAUACACAACUGUAAAUUAAUUAUUGUUGAUGGAGAUGGACAGUCAAAACAGAGGGCCGGCAGCAAGUUUAUAACAUUUUCUGGGGAAAAUUGAGUUUUUCUAUGUUACCUCUAAACUUGGCAACGACGUCCUCAGCAAUGUCAAAUGUUUCGAACCAAACUCUCUUAUGUGUGUGUGAAUCCUUUAUUUUUGCUAUCCAUCUACUGAUGAUUUCUGUCUCGCUCUAUAUCUUAUUCUCUCUCUUGUUUCGUCCCCAUGACAUUGAUACCUCUAAACCUGGCGAUGGCGACGGCCAACGUAGGUUCUGCAAUAUUUUUUCGUCUCUGACUCUGGGAAAUUUUAUAUAGCCCCCGUUUGAUUCUCAUUUUUUGAUCACCAAUAUGAAAAAUAUGAUUGUUACACAAUAUUUGACUUUCUAUCUCUUAUGUGAGUUCUAUAAUAACUAUAUUUUUUAUUCUCAUUUUUUUGAAAAUGGGAAUCAAAUGGGGCAUACAAAGUAACUGUUGCAAAUUACUCCUUGUUCUCUACUUUUUCUAAUAUUUGUUCAAAAUUUUGAAGUCUAUGUAGAAAUCAAUGCUGCCAUUAUCCAAUGUGUUACCAAUUUAUCUCUCUUAUCUUUGCACGAAUUAUAAUUUUUUAACAUUCUUGACUAACAAAGAAAAAUCGAAAAUGUAUUUAAUGCAUUUAGACAAUCUAAUCAUCUCAUCAAUAUCGAUAAUAAUUUUGAUAUCGUUAAAAAUCACUUUAACUUGUGUUUAAUAUAAAAACCUGACAAACAUGCAACAAAACUGAAUGAACACGUUUAAGAAAUAUUUUAAGUGGAGAUAAAUUUCAUUUUGACCAAAAAAUAGUAGAUUAAUCCACGAGUAGCCAAAAUAUUCAAAUUGCUCCCUCUAACAUUGACUUUAUUUUUACCAUUUAUAUACAGUUAAAAACAUCACAAAAGACAACAAAUGUGAAACUAGAGAUUAUUUGGAAGGAAUUAGUACGAGCCAGACCUUCAAAGAGGCAUUGGGAGUGCUAGGGCCCACGCGCCCUACGAUAACUAUUAGGGAUUCCAUCAUAUUCAUAUAUACUGAAGUCCUUCACAGUUUACCGUAACGUUGUAUCAUUAACAUCAAUUUCCCUAUACGGGGGCGUGGGCUUCCUUCCGCCUUGCCUCCUUCGUAGACAACCUUGAAUAUCUAAACUGGGAGCUCAAGCCUCCGUCAUCGGUAAAUCGAUGCUUAGGGCUAGGUGGUACCAUCCAAGUCUAGUUCUCUCUGGGUUGGAAGGAGCAUUAUCAGACAAUCACUUAAUCACAAACUUCAUAUGGGACUAAGAAUCAAUGAAAGGACAUCAAUUCAAAGCCUGGAUUUUUGAAUUGAGAGAGAUAAAAAAUUCUCACUAUUUCUAAGAUUUAUAUAUCAUUAAUAUUCCUAGAAUGAAGAGAAAAUUAUUUCUUGAAUCAACGUAGAUGAGUUCUUCUUUCUUUUAUCACUUAGGAGCUAAUAAAGUUAUGUAGUGUCUCUUUAUUCUCUUUAGAGAAAAUUAUCUAAAAACCUACAUUUAAAGACUAAUUUUUAAAACUAGAGAAGGUUAAUUUUAAUUUCAAAAUUUAGGUGGUAAUUAGAUUUUAAUAAUUAUAAUUAAUAAGAAUUUAAUAAAACUUAAUCUACAUAUACCACCCAUACACUCUAGUGACUCCACCCCCAUUUCAAUUCAUUCCCAAAUUAUAAGUAACCCUAACCAUCUCUCUCUAUCAGCUUCUCGUUCUAUGCCAUCUCUCUCUCUUUCUCUCUCUCUACCAUAAGCCACCUAACCCUCUCCUUUUCUGACGCCACAAAGUUCACCGACCACCACGACCAAAGAAGCAACACAUCGACCACGGCUUCUCUUGCAACACCGCUUGCCGCUACUUGCAGAAGCAAUGGUGAAGACUGGUGAUGACUCGAGCCUUCUUAUCGAAGAUUUCUUCACUUAUCUAUCCUGUUUUACUUCGCUAGAAAACAAUCUGACUGCUCUCAUCGCUGGAGUAGUGGUGGUUUCUGGUAGUUUUUUAGGUAAUUUUUAGAUGGUUUUUAAGUUGAUUUUGCGAUGGUUUUGAGGUGGUGCUGGCAGUGUUUUUGAGGAAUACAUAAAAAUUACCAAAAUUCGACGUUGAUUUAUUGGAAUUCCCUUUAAAUUGGAAUAGAUGCAGUGGUGCUCAUGGUGGUGUUGGGGGUGCGAUGAUUUUCUGAUCUAUUGUUCUUUGGUGGUGAUGGUGUGUUGUGGCUUGAUAUUGAUCUAGUCACAGACAGCUACUCUGAAUAUAAUUUUGACCACAGUUAGUCACACCGAAGGUAAAGUUGGUCACAAUUAAUCACAUGUAUGCGGUGUGUGUAGAUUUGUUUGCGGUGACCCUAUACGACCAAGUAUGUGUUUGUGACCAAUUUUGUAUUGAUUGUGACCAGUUGUGACUUGAGAUUGGUAUAGUCACAGACAGUCACACUAAAUACAAAUUUGGUCACAAUUAGUCACAAACGACACAAGUAAGGUCACAGAUGUCACAGGUGCAAAUCUGAUCACUUACAAUACACCAUUACGACCACCACAGUUUUUUGGAGAUUUUUCAACAGUGGGGUAUAGAGAGAGAAAUUGUUUUCAAAUUUUGGAGAUUUUUCUAAUGGCGAGCCAGAGUAAUGUUUGGAAUAGUUAUCAGAGUAGGUGCUGAAGUGGUCAUUGGGGCAGUUUGUUGGAGUGGUCGUCAGAGUAGUUUGUCGAGGUGAUCGCUGAAAUAUUUGUCGGAGUGAUCACCGGAACAGUCGUCAGAGAUGAUAGCCAUCUCUGGUGGAGGGGUGGAGGAAGGGUGGUGUAAUGGGGUGAUAGGAUAAGGUGGAUGGCAUGUGUGUAAAUAAUUAAUGAAUAUUAUAUUAUAAUUCAAUAUUUAAUAAAACCACCUGAUUUCUGAAAUAUUUGAUUGAGUUUGUUAUUUAUGAAAUGUGAUCUUUAAAACUAUGACUUAUGUGGUCUUCCCUUCUCUUUAUCUUUGAUAAAGAGGUAUUUUCUGUGGAUUUGUAUCGUAUUCAUACAGGGCUGGCCCUGGCCCAAGGCACACAAGGCCACUGCCUUAGGCCUCGAUUUUAAGGGGACCUCUUAAAAAAACUUUGGCCCAAAACCUAUAUCAAUACAAAACCCUCAAAAUCCCAAAAAAAUAAAAUAAAAAUAAAUAAUUAUGAAUGGCCGUUCAAAACGUGAGAGUUGAGACUUGAGAAGAGAGAAGCUGAAAAUACAAUCUUCACUACCAAUUGGUCAUUUGACAAUCCCUGAAGAAUACCAGCAAAAACUCCGGAUUGGGAUAGCAAAAGCUCCGGAUUUGGAUAGCGAAUCGGAUAGUGAAGGCUCGACUUCGCGCCGGUGCAGGAGAAAGAGAUCGGAUAGAAUGAUCAAAAGGUACAACACUUCAUCUUCUUUAAGUAGUAUUGCUGCUAAUUUGUCAUCCUGCAUUUUUGAGAUUGAUCAGUAAGAACAAGAAGAGGUUGCCAUUAGUUUUAUUAUGCUUUCAAGGGAUGUUUCGAAUCGGAGUAUUAAUGUAUCAUGAAUUCUGUUCUCGAUCAAUCCUCUGAAAAUAUUUCUAACUUUUUAGAUUCGAACAAAAUUACUCUACUGAAAUCAAAGAAACCCAAGUCUGAUGAGGAAAAUUUCGGAUUCAAAACUCCUGUUAUUCCAAUAAAUGGCCUCAAAAUGAGCAAAUCUCAGGUUUUCACAUAUGGGUUUCUUGAGAAAAAGAAUCUCGAUAAUGAGUCUCGCCCAAGAAAUUUGAUCAAAAAAGCAGAUCGGAAAAGUUUGAUAUAGAUUCUAAUAGGAAGAACAAGUUAAGCAAGAGAAAGUGCAGGGGUUUAUAUGAUCCUCAGUUGAGUGUGCCUGAGAAUUUUCAAGAAAAAGUUGCUUAUUUUGGUAUUCCGAUUAUGUAUUCUGUGAGAAAAAGCCAAAAUUUGAGUGCACAAAUUGCCACAAGGCCUUUUCUUCUUAUCAAGCACUUGAGGAAAAUAAAGAAGAAGAGGCGGCCAAUUGUUUGAAGAUGUUUUGCCGACGUUGAAAGUUGAAUAGCUAUAUAUACACAAAACUGAAAAAUUUAUGCUUGUGAUUGUGAGCCACUGGGCCUAAGAAUUUAUACCUAAUCUCUCAAGUUGUGAGGGAGGUUUUAUUUUGGUAAUCUAUUUUUUGAAUUGUAUAAAGUCUUUUUUGAAAUAUAAAGGUGUUAAUUAUUUUUAAAUAUUAUUAUACUUGUAAAAUAAAAUAUUAUGUUAAACAACCUCAUAAUAAUUAAUCGGGGUGUCUAAAUUCUCGGGCCUGCCCUUUAUUAGUGUUAAUACAGUUGUAGGUUUAAUGGUUGCUAUGUCAAAUAUGGAGUCUAUCAAGUUAACAAAGUGAAUAAUUAUAUGUCGGUAUUUAACUUUAGCAACUAAGCUGUUGUUUGAUAAUCAUUAUUUUGAAAAAAAUGAUUGCUUUGAAAUUUUUCUUGAACUUCAAUGACAAUUUUCAAGAUUAACCCAGUUUUACCUAUAGAGAAAUUUCAACAUUAGUCACUUCAUUUUUUUCCAAUCUUCGGGGUUAAUAUAUGGGGCUUUCAUUUAAAAAGCAUAGUCAAACAAAACAUUAGUUUAAAAAGUCCACAAACUAAGUUCGUUGGGUAAAAGGCCUAAAGAUAUGGAAAAUGAAAAAUAUAAUUUGUAAAUGACUAAAAUGACCUUACAUACAAAAAAGACAUUGCUGCCUUAAUUUCCAUUUUAAUUCCCAUUUGACCCUAAUUAAAUUCUACCUUCCUUCCAUUUGCUCUUCAAAAUCGACUGUAGAGGUAUGUAAUUUCUUUCUUUGUCAUCAUCAUUUUUCUCUACUUAAUGAAACCUUAAACUCUACAUUUCAUUUUCCUUGAACACUCAUUUGAUUGAAGUGAGUAAUAAAAUCUUGCAAUAUUAUUGUUGGGCAUUUGGAGAAGAAGGAAGUGUUGUAAUUUUCAAUUUUUUGGUUAGUUUCUUUGUCCAUUUUUUGAAUAAUUUCUUCAUGUUGUUAUAUAUAUGUUUAUGAUUUUUAUUUGAGAACAAUGAUUUUGAAUUAAUUUUAUCAUUAUAUUAGAGUUUUGAUAUGGGUUACUCUCAAACCCUUUUUCUCAUUUCUCAUCAUCUGUAUCAGUUAGAGUAAAAUGUAAGUUUGCAAAGGCAUGUUUGGCUAUUCUUUUUAUUAACAUACAUUUAAUUUUGGUCUGUACAUAACAACUUAUAUGUCGUUUUCUGCAAUCCAUAAUGACUUACAUAUCGUUAUUAGUACUGUACAAUGUUUGAAAUGUGAUGAAAUUUUUAUAUUGAAUUACAGUUAUGGACAAUCCGAAUAUGGUAUGGAUAUCAGUUUGUUUUCCAGUUGAAUAUGAGUAGUCGAUUGAAUGUGUUUUAAAAUGAAAAUAUGCAGGGAAUGGCAAAUAAAAACAACUCCUAUUUUUGUUGCGAAAAUUAUUUCUUAUAUGGAAUUAUAUGAUAAAAUCAAAGGGGCGUUGAACAUCAAUUCACAACUUUUUCAGAAUUUAAUUGGAAAAAUUGAAUGAUUAAAUAAUCAAUUCACAACCUCAAAUGGUUACGAGUAGAGUCAUAAGAUAUCAAUGGAUUGUAUGCUUUUAUUCCCAAAUAAGAUGGAAUAAACCAAUACCUUGAAAUAGAAACCAGUACCUUGGCUUUGUUGGAGCAUACUCUUUUAUUAUUUCAUUUAUAUUUAUAAUGGAUAAUUGAUUUGGAAUUAUUUCCUGCAAAUUACAUAAUCAUCAUGUGUGUUAUCUUGCUCAUUUACUUGCUUUCAAUAUAAAGAUUCAGAAACUUGGAUGUUUACUUUGUGAUUUUGUACUGCAACUCUCUUGAGGGACAUGCUUACUCAACUUUUCUCUAACAGAAAUUGAACAUAGCAGGUCAAAUACUAUGUCAGUCUUUUCCAUUUUCGACCCAAAGAAAAAUGGGGAACAUCAUUUUUUUUUUCCUUUUUUCUUUAGGUGCUACUGAUGAUGAUUGUUUUACAUAGAAAUAUAUGGUCCAGCAUUUUAAGCAAUUAUCCUUUAAUUUCAUCAAGAUGUAGGUCGAAAGUGUAUGUAUAUAUGUGUGUACGAUAAAAACUAUAAUGUAAUGGCUGACUUAUAUGCUAUGUGAACUUCCUGGUUUAUCAUCAUAAUUCAUAAUCCAAGUUCAUAAGUUUGUGACAGUGCUGAGAUUAUAAAUUAUCAAAAUUAUUCAAUGGAUCCAUAAAUACUAUAUUAAUCGAUCGUUCAUUUUUAUUUUUAUAAUUUUUUUCCAAAACAUUCUUGAUUCUUGAAGUUCUCGAGUAAUAAUUGUCUGAGACUAAGGUUGUAAUAUUUUUUUGACUUGUAACUUUAUAAUUUUGUGCUUAUUCGAAGCACAAGAUGAUUUAUUAAAUUUUGUAAUCAUUGUGCUAUUGAAAUGCUUUUGCACUAUUGAAAUGCAAACGGCGUUCAUAUAGUUACAAUUGAUGUAAAUGCAAUCAAUCUAAUAACGAUAUAUAUUUUCUUCCUUCUGAAAAAAAGUGUUUAAGAUCGUUGCGAUACAAAACUGUAUUAGUUUUAAUUAUGACAUUGAAGUCGUUCUUGAAGUACAAAACGAUAUAGAUGCCGUUCAAAUAAAAAAAAGUAGAGUGAAUAACAUAACGAUAUUGAAACCGUUCCUGUAAUAAAAAAUGAUUUCUAUAUCGUUUCAGUAUGGAAUACACACUGCUUAACUUAUUUUGGUAAUGACAUAAAAGUCGUUAUGACUAUACAUAAGCGAUAUAUAAGUCGUUCUAGUACAAAAAUGCAUUCAUUCUAAGAAUGACAUGGAAGUCGUUCCUGAAAGUCAAAACGAUAUAGAUGUCCUUCCAAUAAAAAAAGCACACUGAACAACAUAACGAUAUUGAAGGCAUGAUGGGUAGUUGUGGACGGUCAAACCUACUUUUAGCUAGAACGAUAUAAUUAUCGUUUUAUAUGAAAAGAAACGGUAUCUAUGUCGUUAUACUUGUAAUUUAAAUUGAAAUGAUUUCAAAUUAUUCAAAUUUGUACUAAAACGAUAUAAAUGUCGUUACCUUAUUUGUGAUUUUAUGCAUAACGAUAUCAAUAUCGUUUUAAUACAAAUUUGACGACGUUGAUAUUGUUUUAGUUUAAAUCAUAACUAAAACUACACGCAUAUCGUUUCAGUUAAAACAAAACGAUACUUAUAUCGUUUUUGCUAAAAAUAAUGAUUUGACCGUCCACGACCACCGAACAUGCAUUUGACAUAUGGAGGAUGAUCAAAAUAGCUAAUCAAGUGGGUUCGAUCUCCCUUAAAAGAAACUAUGAGAACAUUUUUGUUCUCAUGAUUGUAUACCAUCUUCAAACUAUUCAGACAGAAAGUAUUUUCGUUUGUUCUUUCCAAGUCAUUCGAGUGGUAUCAACCCACUUGAUGACCUCUUUCGAUCGUCCUACGUAUCCUAAAUGUAUGAUGGGUGGUUGUGGACGGCCGAAUCGUUAUUUUUAUUCAGAACGAUAUAAUUAUCGUUUUAUAUGAAAAGAAACGAUAUCUACGUCGUUAUAUUUGUGAUUUGAAUUGGAACGAUAUUCAAACUUGUCGAAUUUGUACUAAAAUGAUAUGAAUGUCGUUAAUUUGUGAUUUUGAGACAUAACGAUAUCAAUAUCGUUUUAAUACAAUUUUGACGACGUUGAUAUCGUUUUAGUUUAAAUCAAAACUAAAACUACACGCAUAUCGUUUCAGUUAAAAUAAAACGAUACUUAUAUCGUUUUUGCUAAAAAUAAUGAUUCGACCGUCCACGACCACCGAACAUGCAUCUGACAUAUGUAGGAUGAUCAAAAUAUGUAAUCAAGUGGGUUCGAUCUCUCUUAAAAAAAACUAUGAGAAUAUUUUUGUUCUCAUGAUUGUAUACCAUUUUCAAACUAUUCCGACAGAAAGUAUUUUCGUUUGCUCUUUCUAAGUCAUUCGAGUGGUAUCAACCCACUUGAUGACCUCUUUCGAUCGCCCUACGUAUUCUAAAGAUAUGAUGGGUGGUUGUGGAAGGUCAAAUCGUUAUUUUUAUUCAGAGCGAUAUAAUUAUCGUUUUAUAUGAAAAGAAACGAUAUCUACGUCGUUAUACUUGUGAUUUGAAUUGGAACGAUUUCAAACUCAUCAAAUUUGUACUAAAACGAUAUGAAUGUCGUUACUUUAUUUAUGAUUUUGAUACAUAUCGAUAUCAAUAUCGUUUCAAUACAAUUUUGACGAUGUUGAUAUCGUUUUAGUUUAAAUCAUAACUAAAACUACACACAUAUCGUUUCAGUUAAAAUAAAACGAUAAUUAUAUCGUUUUUGCUAAAAAUAAUGAUUUGACCAUCCACGACCACUAGACAUUUAUCUGACAUAUGUAGGAUAAUCAAAAUAGAUAAUUAAGUGGGUUCGAUCUCCCUCAAAAGAAACUAUGAGAACAUUUUUGUUCUCACUAUUGUAUACCACCUUCUAACUAUUCUGACAGAAGUAUCUUCGUUUGCUCUUUCUAAGUCAUUCAAGUGGUAUCAACCCACUUGAUGACCUCUUUUGAUCGUCCUAUGUAUCCUAAAGGUAUGAUGGGUGGUUGUGGACAACCGAAUCGUUAUUUUUAUCCAGAACGAUAUAAUUAUCGUUUUAUAUGAAAAGAAACGAUAUCUACGUCGUUAUACUUGUAAUUUGAAUUGGAACGAUUUCAAACUCGUCAAAUUUGUACUAAAAAGAUAUGAAUGUCGUUACUUUAUUUGUGAUUUUAUAUUGUUUCAAUAUAAUUUUGACGACGUUGAUAUCGUUUUAACUUAAAUCAUAACAAAAACUACAUACAUAUCGUUUUCAGUUAAAAUAAAACGACAAUUAUAUUGUUUAUGCUAAAAAUAACGAUUCGACUAUCGAUGACCACCAGUCGUGUAUCUGACAUAUGUAGGAUGAUAAAAAUAGAUAAUCAAGUGGGUUUGAUCUCCCUUAAAAGAAACUAUGAGAACAUUUUUGUUCUAGUGAUUGUAUACCACCUUCGAACUAUUCAAACAAAAGUAUUUUUGUUCACUCUUUUUAAGUCAUUCGAACUCUAUCAUUCCACUUAAUGAUAUUUUUAGAUCGUUCUAUGUAUGUUGAAGGUAUAAUAGGUGAUUGUAAACGGUCGAAUCUUUAUAUUUAGUUAGAACGAUAUAAAUAUUGUUUUUUAUGAAAAUAAAUGAUAUCUAUGUUAUUAUCAUUGUGAUUUGAAUUGGAAUGAUUUCAAACUCAUUAAAUUUGUACCAUGACGAUUUAAAUGUCGUUGUCUUAUUUUGUGGGUUUGAUACAUAACGAUACUAUUAUCGUUUCAGUACAAUUUUGAUAACAUUGAUAUUGCUUUAAUUUAAAUUUUAACUAAAACGAUAAUUAUAAAAACGACAAUUCGAUCGUCCACGAUCAAUUAUAUUUAAUAUCGUAGUUAUAAAGUUCUAGUGUAAUCACUUCUGAAACAAUAUAUAUGACAUUAUAGUUACGAUUGAAUAUGAACGAUAUCAUUGUCGUCAAAAAUUGUAUUGAAACGACAUAAACGUUAUUUACUUAUUCCAUAACGUGCGCUUAAAUCUGUUAAACAGUGAAGUAAUGUGUAUUCGAUAUCGGAACGACAUAUACAUCGUUUUUUGUACUUCAGGAACGAGUUCAAUGUCGUUAUACAAAUCAGUUAAGCAGAGUGUAUUGAUGCUGAAACGAUAUCAAAGUCGUUUUAUAUUUCAGGAACGAUUUCAAUGUCUUAUGCAAAUCAGUGAAACAGUGUCAGCAGCUCAUUUCCAUUCCACAUUUUUAUUAAGUUGAUAAGUUAUAUUUUACGAUUUCUUCAAACUGCAAUAUCUUCGUGCUGACUUAACCGAAUCGAUUUUUUCUCGAGUCGAAUAGUUCUUAUUAAUUACAAGCUUUAAAAUGAGUACAAAUCGAUAUACUGCAUCACUUUUUAUUAAAAUCUAAUUAUUGGACUUUAAAUAAGAUAUAAAUUUAAAAAAUAUUUUUUUGUCCAUUUUUUUCUAAAAUAUAAAGAUAAAUUUAUUUUAAAAAAUUUCUUGUGUUAUAAUAUGUGUCUAAUGAAUAAAUAACUCGAUAAUUAUUUUCAACUAGUUGCUAAGUUGUGGACAAUGUUAAAACUUUGAUUGCACUGGAGAUCAAUUACGAAAAAGAGAUGAUCUGAAACUUAAAAAGGAGAGUUCGAAUUCUAAGAAGAAGAUGAUUUUGAAAAGGAAAAUUUUUUGAAUUUAAAGAAAGAGAAUGUUGUGUGUGUUAGAACAUAAAUGCAUAAUUAUUAGAGCCAACCUGAUGAUCAACUAAAAAAAACCACUGGAUCAAUGGUUCAAUCGGUGGUUAUUGUUAAAUUUUAAUUUUAAUUUUAAUUAAAAUUUAUUUUUGAAGUGAGAAUAAAACAAUUUUUUGAAAUGUAAUAUAUAUAUGUUUUGCUCAUAGGAAACAAAGGACCAUCAUUUACCUUAAUGGUUGUGAAGUUAAAAUAAUUUUUUGCAUUCCAAAGUUCAAAUCAUGGUUCCAACAAAUUUAAAAAAAAACUCAAUUUUUUCUUCAUUUUUAUUUUACAAGUUAAAGAUAAAGAAGUCUCUCGACAUUUUUAAAUAAUUAAAACUCUUUUUAUUUUUAUAAGUUUGGUCAAACGCAAAUUGAGCAAAAUGUACAUUAAAUGACCUUCCCAACUCAUUUCCCCUUCGUAUAUGAUAGUAAACAUUCAGGGCCCAUCCGUAUCAAAGAAGUGAAGAUACGUAAAAGAAAUCCCAGAAAAUGAAGAAAAUUGUUUCAGAUGAAUCGAGCUCGAAGAAUUCACAUGGAGACGGGGCUGCAAAUAUAUCGCACACUUUUAAAUACUUAUUUGGUUAGUUAUUUUUUUAAGCGCUCUGCAAUUAUACGAUCCACUUUAUGCCUAAAUUUUCUCUAUCUAAAUUAAUGUGUUAAAAUAUGUGUAUGUAUAGCUACGCAGUUCUUGUCAAGAGGAAUCCCUUUCAUAUUUAAUUCGUGGAUUAUCAGGCACCUCACCGAAGAAGAAUAUGCGGUAAGUUGUUUUUUUUUUUUUUUUGUUAAGCACCCUCUUUUUCUUUUUUUGAAGUUUUCCAGUGGGUAUUGAGAUGGUAGAUGUAAAACUGGAAAAAUAAGAGGGGAAAAUGUAAAUUUUGGAUGAUUUUGUGUGUCAAAAAGUUAAAAGUAAUAAUACAUGUUGGGGGAGCAUAAACCAUUGUGCCAUAUUUAACAUAUUAUUGUGCCUCUUAGUUGGAAUUCUGAAAAAUUACGUUUUGAAAAUCUGUUCUCAAAUGUAUGUAGUAUUACAAUAAAUUUUCAUCGCUGACUUUGUUGCUUGACCAUAUAGUGUGUCAUGGGAUUUUUGGACAGUGUUAGGGGAAUAUCAGAGUCUUAUUUUAAAUUUAGACUUGGGGUUUUUACUUGUGUACAGUUAAAGGGUUGUCUAAUGCCUUCAAUAACAUCUGAAAAGUGUCAGUGUCCUGUGUAUACUUAUAUGCUUCUUUGUUGUGUGUUGCUCGAUCAUAGGUGUUAAAACUAAACUAUAUUUUCCAUGGUUUUUGUUUUUUCGAAGUAUGACUUAACAAUUGUAAUAUAAUGGUGUAAUUUUCAUGUAGUUUCUUUGACUGUUUCUUAUGUUUGUAUUUCCUGUUGUCAUCUGACACAUCACAUUCCUAUACAUAAUGCAGUUGUAUGCUGUACAAUUCCAUCUGUUUGUCACCUGUAUCUUGUUCCUCAGUCGAGAAGGAUUUCGGCGAGCAUGCAUGAGAGCAGUUAUAAAAUGGUAUUUUCAAAUGUCUCUUUUGAUCCAAAAUCCUGAGUAUCUAUUCCUUGUAUAUUAUUUUUAUAGUUGUCCAAACACUGGCUUAGUCUAACCAAUUGGAUUUAAGUUUCUUCUUUUGUUUACUCACCCAGUUAUUGGUCGAGUUCAAUUUAUUCGUUGUCAUGAAGUUUCUGGCUUUCCGCUAUGCUAAUUGUUUUUCUAAUAUAUUUUCAUACGUCACAUGCUUAAAAUAUACGAAGUUAUUUUUAUCUUUUUAAAACAGACAAGAUUCUCGAUUCAUAUUCAAUUUCAGAUCUGGUUUCCAUUAUUCUUGUCAAAUUUUCAUUUAUCUUAUCUUAUGCUGGUUAUGGUCUAUCUUAAUAUAUAAUGCAGAAAUACAUAAUGACGUGUGGUUGUGUUGUUCCUAUGCAUAUUCAACAAUCUAAAUAACUGUGCCUGCUUAUCAUUUUAGUACUUCUAUUUUGAUAAUCUUCUGAUGGAUGUCUUGGAAAAUGCAAAACUGUCACACGCCAUUUGUGCGUUUUGAUUUUCGAAGUAUGAAUCUCAAAGAUGAUUUUGUGAUAUCUUGCAGUAAUGAUGCUUCAACAACGAGAGAAAAUGCAGCAAAACUUUUGAAAGUUGCCUGGCUGACAUUUCCUAUGGGAAUAAUUAUUACACUUGCAGCAUGUGUAUAUGUAUUCUGGUUGAAAGGUCUAAGUUAUUCUAGUCCAUAUGCCCAGAGUAUCUUGAUUCACGGUAUGCUAAUACGUCAAAUACCAAACUUUUCAAAUUCAGUUCCAUGCUGCUAGAGCCAGUCCACUUGCUGAGGGAAAAUCUUCGGCUUUAAACUUGUGGACAAAUAUGGAGGUGUGGAGGGAAAUAAGAACUACCAACAUUCUGAAAAAAAGCCACAUUAGAAAUUUUCGUACUGCAAGGGGCCAGGUGGCACCAAAUGCAAUUCUAGAAAAGUCAUUCCAGUGGGUGGGAGGCAUGUAAGAAAUAUUACAAGUCUAAAACACGAGGCUGGGUGGUGUGUGGGUGGGUAUGGAUAGGCAUUGAACUUGGUUUUUAGGUAGUUUCCCUUGGUGCACAACAAACUGGAGAUCGACAUUUGUGUCAUCACACAUCAAAUAGAUGUUGAUGUGUUGUGUUGUAAUGCUUGAAGAUGCAGAGACGUUCAUUCUUAGGGUGUUGUGUUUCCUAUAUGUUUAACCUCCAAUAAAGACUCUUGAUGUCUGGUUUGUUCAUACAUAUGCAGGUUUUGCAUGUGUACUUGAACUACUAGCGGAACCCCUUUAUAUCUUGUCUCAAAACAUGCUGCUUCUCAGACUGCGGCUGGUUGUUGAAAGUGCAGCUACUCUUUCGCGUUGUAUAACGACGUAUAUCCUCAUACUAAAGCAAUCUAGCAUGGUAAAUAGAAGAUUUACACUUUCAUUUUAAUUUUUGUGCGUAAUGGUGACUUUUGGAACUUUCAUUAGUAACGUUUAGGUUUCAAGCAUAUCUAUAUUAUAAGCUUUAAAGCAUGGACAGAACUUCUUAGGAGUUCUUGUUAGAGUGGAGGCAUGGGGUUGGAUAAAGAUUGUCACAUUACUUGUCAUUAGUUGGGGGCACAUAAUGGGAUAGCUUGGAGCAGUAUUUGAACUUCUAGACAAUCAGUUAUGAAUUUUACAAAAAAUUAAUGGCACAGAAUGAGGUUUUGACCUUUCAUUGUGAAAGGUCAGAAGCCUACUAUUGUCAUUGUCGCUCAUCAUCGUCAUUCUCAUUGUUGCCACAAAAUACCGCUGAAUAAGCACUUUCUUUUCCUCGCUUCUUCUUCAAUGUCUGGGAGAGAGGGGUGGGAUGGAUUCUUCCAAUCACCUUAAAUGUCCUUUGGCAACCUUAUUGAAGCUUAUCAUUAUGUCCCAAUCACCUUGAAGAUUCUUCUCUUCUUUGUUUCUCGUGUUUUUUACUGAUUGGUUUUGAAUUCUACUCUCUACACAUGUUUGAAAGGAGAAUUCUAUUCCCUUGUGUUGAUUCUUCUUCGAUGGUACUCAUGAUUUUGCAUCUCUUCAUGCUUGUCCUCUGUUAUUUUGCAGCCUUAGUUACCCAAGUUUUGGUCUGGAGUUUUUUAACCAUUAUAUGAUGGACUGUAUUUUUUUAAUCUGAUUUUAAUGAAAUCAGUUUAUUAUGUUUGAUGUGUACUGGGCACGCUUCUAUCCUUCUUGACUACUUGUGAUUCCAUGCCACUUGUGGUUUAUCUCCCUUCAACAUCUCUAUUUGUGCAACAUUUGUACCACAAUCUGAGCAGCUUCCUAAUAUGAAAAUUUACUGUUUGCAGGAGAAAGAAAUUGUAUUUGCCUUGUCUCAAGUUGCAUAUGGAGCUUCAAUAUUCUUAGGUUAUUGGGGAUAUUUUCUUCUUUUUCGUGUAUCUGACACUUUUGACCUUUUUCCUUUCAGGUAUUAUUUUUUUUCAACCCUUGCUUGUUAUCUUUGCAACUUUACAUGGGACAAACAGUUCACUACAAUCAGAAAAUUUGAAAAAAGUGCUUAUUUCGUGAACAUUGUAGUAUUAGCAGUGUAGAAACUUUUUGUUGAUUUUCUCAUGCCUGAUGAACCUCCAUGAUAUUUUAAGUCUUCUUUGGUCCCCUUCUCAGAUGGUCUUAUCAUAUAGUGAUGGCGUUUAGUUUCCAUAUCAAUUUCUUUAAGUAAUAUGCUUCUUUUUAAGCUUUAAAUGUUACUAAAAAAACAACUGAUAUUCACAGUGUAGGGAACUUGAUGGAUUAUGAUAGGCCACUAACAAAUAUGUGUAAGUUGUUCACUCUUCAAUCUGUUCGAAAGUUGAUUCUUCAGGAAGGAGAAAAGAUGGUCCUUGUAUGGUUGGAUACACCAUAUAACCAAGCAGUAUAUGGAGUUGUAGAGAAACUAGGUUGGUAUUUCAUCAAUAAGCUUUUUGCUUAUAGUUAAUACAUUGCUUCACAAGAUAGCACGUUUCUGUGAGAAAGAUGCAAUUGUCUGAUAUGAGGCUCAAGUUUAAGUGUUUAAGCAUGUAAUUCGCUUUUCAGUUUGAAACUCAAAAAAUUUCUGAGUAUGCUAAAAUAGAUUAGGUUGGUGUUUCAGGGAGCUUAGUGGUUAGGCUGGUGUUUCUUCCAUUUGAAGAAAGUUCAUAUGCUACCUUUGCAAGGUCUGCAUCAGGUUUAUCCCUCGUCUUCUUGUUCUCUUAAUGAUGCUACAUUCCUUCUCUAUUUUCCUUGACUAUGAGUAGCUUAGGCAGUGGACGUCCCUCAAGAUUCUUACAUGAAUUGUUCCUUCUUAUUUUUCACUGCAUGCUACCCAAUGUUUAAAAAGGCUUCAUCGGUUACUGAGGCAUUUUCUCUGUGAGGCGAGGCAUUAGCCUCCAGAUAAAUCAAUAAAAGAUAAAAGAAUUAAUAAAAGUAUAAAAAUACCAAAAUAUGCUCGCAAUAUACCACGAACCCUUUCAAAAAAUUCAUAAGAAAGCCGAUUAACAAUAUUCAAAAAGUCUAACUUGCAAAUCAACAUAAAAUAGAUCAAGAAAAUAGAAAAUAAUAAGUUUUCAAAUUUAUAAUCAUGAAUCAAAAUUUUAACUACUAAAAAAUUUCUUGCAUCACUAUUAAUAUGAUCUUUAAGGGAAUCAUUAACUUCAUUAUGCUCAUUAUAAGUUUCUUUUCAUUCUUUGUCAUCAUCCACAAUUUCCAAUUGCAAUGAUGUAUUCUCCUUCCCAUUUUCCUUCCUUGUAGGUAGAAAAAUGGAAAUGACACCAUAAAACAUUUUAAGUUAUAAAGAAAUAACUCAGAAAGCUAAGGUUAAUAAUUUUAAAUCAUUGAAAAAUACUAGGCAAAUGGGUGAACACCUUAGCUGGCUUGAGGCAUAAGCCUUGCUCAGUCAAGGUGUAAGCCUCUCACGUGACCUUAAAGGUUGUGUUUUGAGGCAUUUUAUGAUAGCCUCACAUGAGGCGGGAUUUGAGGCGUAAACCUCAAAUAGUGUUUUUAAACCAUGAUGCUACCUAUGCAUGUUAUGGACAGAAAUAUGCUAAUUAUGCUUGUUUACUUGGAUCUUUGAAUAGAUCUAGUAAUGAGCCAAAUGGAGUGGCGAAAGCGAUUCAUGUAGUUGACCCCAAAUUUUUUGGAACAACGCUUAAUUUGCUGCAGCUUAAAUAUUUUUCAAUUCACCUGACUGUAAAUGUCCACGGGUCUAAUCCUCUGACAUUUUUCUCUCUAAAGCUAAGCAUACUUAUUAUUCAUACUUGAUGUCAUAGAGAUGAAAGAACUGGGUUCCAGAUGCAAAACGAAUUCAUCUUUUUCGUCCUUUGACCAGUACUCUUUUCUCUACAAUUUCAUGCUGUUUUGCUCACGUGAGGCUAUAUGCUUUGAUGAUACUGGAAUUAUAUUUCUUAAUAUUACCACGAUUUGAGCCCCUCACAUUCCAUCAAUGAUCAGCUGGGCUUACACUCUUUGGUCUAUAAGAAUCAAGUAUCUCGUGAAAACUUGACUCUGCUCGUUUUCUUAAUGUUGUUCUUCUAGUUAUUUAAGGCCAUUUUCAGCAAAUGAUAAAACCUGUCUCACUUAGUCAAUUAAUAUUGUUUCAAUGGAUUAUUAAUCUUUGUAGGUUUUAAUUUUUGUAGCUAGACUAUAUCAUUAUCUUCAUUCCUUUUGGCAGGAGACAAUAGAGAGAAAAGCAGGAAGCUCGGAAGGUGUCUUACAGAUGCUCUGAAACUUGUUUUGCUGAUAGGUACCUCUAGUUUUGAUGCAAUUUAUAUCAAGGCAGGGAAAUAUAGGUUCGAUAAAAAUUUGCUUUUUUUGCAGAAUUAUCCCCAAAGAUCUCGGUCAGAGCAGAAUAGAUAAAAUCCUAAGAAAAGCUGAAAAUUAACCAAGGACUAUUUCUUGAAACUCCUUCUCGCCGUGACCUUCUCUUAAAUUCUCAAAACUUCUCUCGCUCCAUCCCCGUAGGGUGAGGAUUUGGUGUUGCUCAUAUUUUACAAGAGAUGCUUACUUAUAAAUCUGAUCAUAUUAGCGCAAAUUAGUAAAAAAUCGAUUAGAAUAAAAGAAAUCAGUAAAAAAAAACGAAUAAAAAUUCACAAUUGGAAAGGGAGUUCCCUCCAAACGAUGGAUCUAAUUGUGCUCGACGCUCCAUUUUUUUAUAUUAUUUAUUAUUAUUAUUAUUAUUUUUUCCGAAGUAACUCUCAUCAACUAGCAAAAUUCAUGGAUUUUGGAAAAAGGGGAAGGUUGGUUAGCUCACCCUCGCGGGAUCGCGACCUUUUUUCCUCACCAUUGUUCCCAUGAUCCUGAACCGAUCUUACCUGGGACUUGAGACUAAAAAGGCCCAAUAACAAUUUCAAUAUAAAUUCAGUAUGGUCUUGAAAAAAUAAUGUUACUCAGGAGAAGUUGAUUUUUGAGUAUUUUAGUCUUGCUCAAAAGUAUUUAAGUCUGUGGAGCCACUAGCUGAUUGUUCGAUCGUAAAACUAAUGUAAGACAUUGAGUAUAUUCAAUGAGGUGCUAGUGAUACAGAAGUUUUAGCCGUUGGGCUGUAAUCUGUUGCUAACUAUUUUAGCUGCAACAAUUUCCUAGGUCUAGCAGUACUUAGAAAGCCUAAAGCUUUCCUUUUCCCAAAUUAAAUCAACAUUGUGGUCUGAUAUCAGGUUCUCACUAUUAUUCUGAUUUCAAAUCCUCAAUCCACAAUUCUGGCCUGAUAUGCAUGGAAAAUGCAGUUUUUUAAGGAAAAGAAUGACCCCUUUUCUUUCCCCGGUAUUUCCUAAACCAUAUCUGGUGAAGUGACACCAAAAUCUGUUCAUGUUCAACACUUCAGUUUUCUAUUGUUUAUAGUAUGAAAACCUAACAUAGGGAGGGAAAACAUUAUGGCGUGUUUCUUCUGUUGGCAUGUGGAUCAUCAUGAAAUGGAUCUUGUUGCCAUGCUUACGAUACCCAUUUUGGCUCUGAUUCAGAGACAAUGUUGAAAUGAUAUAUGAUUGCUAUAGAAACAAUUCGCUCACAUAAUAUAGAUACCUCAGACUCAUGCUUCGUUGUGCUUAUUAUGCAGUGACUGUAAUUUAAAUGUAAAUGAUAAAUGAAAUGAUACCAUUACAGUGUAAUAAAUAAGAAAUGGACUUACUUCUUCCAUGGUGUUGGUGGGAUUCAGAUAAGGGAGGACUUGCAUAGAAAUACUAGCAUAACAAUUUGUUUUAUUUAAAUUAAAGCUGAACUCCUGGUUAAUAUCUAACAUAGAACAUAAGAACUGGGUGGACCUUGUGCUCAUUAUGAUUGAAAUAACUAGUAGACAAACAAUAGAAUGGAAUUCUCAGAUUCCUCCGCUGCUUGGAUGCUUCUUUGUGGUUAUCUCAUAUCCUUGUGCAGGGAAUGUGUUUGGAAACGGAAAUAAUAAUUGAAAUGUCCCACAACAGGAUGGUUAAAGAAAUAGACCUACGUCACCCAUGAUGUUGCCGAGAUUCAAUGAAGUGAGGAGUUACUUAUAGACACCAGCACAGCAAGUUGGUCCAUUUUGGAAUUCUAGCCACACUCGUGGCCAUCCUUUUUUAUUGAACAUUAAGAAUAGUUGUGAGCAUGUUCUCAAUUGCGGUGACCAGUAUCAAAUAGUAGAAUUAGAAUCUCAGAAGUUUUUUCGCUGCUGGGAUUUUCGUGAAAAUUGAUAUGAAAAGAUUAUUCCUGACUUCAAUGCCUACAUACCGAACUCUCAUUUUUUUAGUUGUCAUCAUUUCUUUUCUUUUCUUCUUUUUCUGGAUUUGGUGUUAGAUCCAGUCUGAUCUGAUUAGUUGUAAAUAGCUUAUGGCAAGACCCUGCUAUGUACAUCAUCACUCUAUGUAGCUUUAUACCUAUCAAAGAAGUUGGAUAUUGUACCUUCAGAGAAAUGGGCUAGCAUUAGUGUAUUACCAAAACCAAUUCAUAUAUGUUUUAAAAAUGCAGCUGAGCUACUUUUGACUUGAUGUUAUUUUGCUUUUGGUGAUUUAAAAAUAUUAUUUCUUUUCAACAAAUGAAAGUUAUAGGUGAGGAGAUACUGAGAAAUGGGAAAAGCUGUGUGAUUUUAUCUACUCUUAGCAUAAUUGUGCACGUUGCUACUAAACAGUGGACCCACCCUGAUGCGAGAUAUUGCCCAUAGGAAGCUUACCUAUGUUGUUUAAAUGAUAUUAAUAUUGAAUAAUCUCAAGGAUGUUUCAUGAAAAUACUGACCAAUUAUACUUGGUUGCUUAUAAUUGAUAUGGGUUUGAGCUGAGCUGAGGUGGUUUCCUAUAAGUAGAUAAAAAAAGUAGGCUUAUUUAUUGAUAUCAAUUAUCAUGGGACUAACCACAUUCCAUCAAGUUGGGAUGAUACUUUCAUGCGAUGUUCAAUGAAUCUGUGCUGUCAAUCCCUAGCUAAGUGUUAUCGGACCUUACGUUUUAUAGAAAAAUGAAUUAUAUAGAGCACAAGUUUUAAGUUGUUAAAAAUCACCUAGAACAUUUUGACAUUUUUAAAAUGAAUAUCCUAACCUUGAAGUAGUUUUCCUAAACUAUUUGAGUAGCUGAUACUGUUUUCCUGAUUGUGUAGGCAUGGUGGUUAUGGCAUUUGGUCCAAGUUAUUCUUACUCUCUCAUCAGAAUAUUGUAUGGUAGGAAAUGGAGUGAUGGAGAAGCUUCAACAGCCCUACAAUAUUAUUGCCUUUAUGUAAUAGUCUUGGCCAUGAAUGGUAAGUGGAUCCUACAUGUCACUCUAUUAAUUUAUUUUUUGUUGUCUACGUGAGUAAGUUGCAUUUUUAAUAUUUUCCUCACGUAUCUGUUUUUAACUUGCUAUUUAAGUUCUAUGUGGUACUUGUCUUAUUCUACAUUUAUUUUCAUGACAAGAAGAUAAUACCUCAAAAAACACUGUGUAGCAGUAGCAGUCUUGCUUGCAUUAAUGGAAACCUUAAUUCUGUAGAUGAGAACUGUAUGACCUAAAAUUACUUGAGCCAGAUAAAUGUUACACACACAAUUGAGAUUGUAAUAUGGAAUUUUGUUUUUGUUUUCGCUUUAGGUACAUCUGAAGCAUUUUUGCAUGCAGUUGCAACAGAGAACCAACUCAAGCAAUCAAACAAUUCAUUGGUUGUGUUCUCAUUGGUUUAUCUAGUGUUGAAUGUAUUACUAAUAAGAUCAGCUGGAGCAGUGGGGUUGAUCACUGCAAAUUCUUUGAGUAUCCUCUAUUAUAUUAAUGAAGUUCUUAUCAUAUUCUUCUUUUCUGAUCAAUUCUUUGCUGACUAUUCUACAUGAAAAAAAUUCUCUCAUCAAUGAGCAGUGGGACGUUCAAGUUAAAAAAGGAAAUAAGGCUACUUAAUCAGUCCAAUCUUGGCAUUUUAAGGCAAAAAUUGCAAAAUAUUUUUGCAGGAUGUGUAUUCUGAGAGUGAAGGUGGAUGUGUAAGUGGCUGGUUGGGUGGUUUGACAGGCAGUGUAUGUAUUUUUGUGUUGCCAACCUUCACGCCUGCUCGAAAUUAAGACAGUAAUCAUAAUUUACACACACUGCUUCCUUGACUGUUAUAAAGACAUGAUUUUCAGGAUUGUUUAUUCAGCGAGAUUCAUCAGCAAUUAUUUCAAGGUAUACCUGUAAUUUGUGCAAAUUACUUUGUUUGCAUUCCGUAAAAUUUCAGCUUGACCUUAGUGAAAUGUGAAAUACAUACACGUAUGAUUAUGAAUAUCUUAAAUGCAGACUUAAAAUGCAUUGUUCAUUCUUCUUCUCAGGAGUCUUCCUCGUUUUCUUUUCGUGAAUGCUUGCCCUCUGGGUGGGAAUAUCUACUAUUUUCAGGUGUAGCCACUUUCAUAUUUGAGAAAAUAUAUUUGGACCGAGAUGACUUCUGGGCCACAUUUUUCGUUCACUUCUCCUUUGGAUUCGCAUGUUUCAGCGUAACAGCAUUUGCAAUGUGAGUUUUAAUCUAUGCCCUUGAUAUUGUCUUAUCCUACCACUUUCUUUUAGUGUUACAGUCUUUCAGUGACAUCUCUACUCAUGAUGGUAACUUUUUAUUUUCAUUACUAGCUACCGUAAGGAGAGACUGUUUAUCAGAAAAAUUAUCCGUUUUCGCGAGCAUGCUGACUGAAACUCUUGAAGUUUGAAGGUGAGACGGUAUAUUCACUGUGCCUUUUUAUUUAUUUAUUUUUUUUGGGUACUUUAAAAAAUGUAAAAACGGUAUAUAUUCACUGUGCCUUCGUUAGCAUAAUUUUGUUUAGGACUAAAAUUUCAUUAGGUUUGCAGGGAACCUAUUUUGAUCGGAAUGCACGAAGGACUUUUCUAAUAAGUACAUUAUUUUAAAUUUUGAUUACCAAAAAGUUAUUUAUGUUAAAGUAUACUUAUUUUGCUUAUAAGUAACUUUUUUAAAGCCUAGCCAAAUAUGCAAAAGGUUUGGAUGAGAAUAUUUUCAUUUUUGAAAGUUCGGUGAAAUUUUAAUUGACUCGCUCAACUUUAUUUUUUGUCAAUUAAAUAAUUGAAUUUCAAUGUUCUUUCAAUUCUAGUCACUUCCUUAACUCUCUAAUCUUCGCGAACGUUAAAAAUUGAUAGCAAUGUGACUGUGUUUAACAAUUUUAGGUUAAUAUGCCAUAUAAUUAUGUGUUGAAUGGUGACGAUAAAAUUGAAAAUAAAUUAUUUCUCCCUAAUUUCUCCAGUCAUGAUACGAUUAGGUGGCAUUUUCACCUAGAAACGAGAGCUAGUCGAGGGAGUUAAGUAAUAACUUGGACUAAUAUAGUCGAAAUUGAAGUUCAGUGUACCGAUUGUGAUAAUUGGCAAAUUAAAGUUGAGUAACCUAAUUGAGAUAUCAUUGAAAGUUCAGUAAUUAAAAGCCAGGAUCUCCACAAAAGUCUAGUCUUUCAAAAUUGUAGUUGAAAACGCCUCAAAAUGUCAUUUAACAUAACAUUGGGACUUAUGAGGGACUAUUUCAAGAAUAAUAUUAUUUGUAAUCGUCCUACGUGAUAUACAUGUGGUGAUUAGUGAUUUGAUGCAUUAGAUAAUAAAAAAUUAUUAUAUUAAUGUGUCAAAUCACUGUCACACGUAUGUCACGUAGAGCGACUGCAGUAGUGAAUGAUUGCAAAUAACAUUGCUUCCCUUUCAAUAAAAAAGAAAAAGAUUAAACAGCUGACUUGUUUCUUUUCAUUUCACAAGGAUUUAUACCAUUUUACUUCGGGGUUGACAUGGUUCUAUAUGGUUCUGAUUCCAAAAGAGCUGAACCAUGAAUCAAUGAUUUUUUUGAUGAUGGAACCAAAUGAAUUUUUUAAAGAUAUGAAACCAAAUUGAACCGAAUCGUUUGAUUUUGGUUUGGUUUGGUUUGUUGCUAAUUUUAUUUAGUAAAAUUUUAGAUUUGCAUCAUAUAAAUUAGUAAUGUAGACUUAAAUAAGAAAAUAAAUAUGAAACAUUUAGGAAGUUUAAAUUUCAAUUAUUGAGAUAAAAAGAAAGUCAUAACUAACAAACAAAAUAUAUUAAUAAUUUGAAUAUACAAAUUGAUUUUCGUUUUCAUACAAAGAAUUGUUUAAUAAGUAAUAGCAAUGAUUCGCUAAAUUAAUUGCAAUAGUUUUGAAGGCACACUCCUACAAUAAAAUAUCAAUUAUCAAAUUUUUUACGGUCCACUUCUACAAGCAAUAUUAACUGUUUAAUAUUUUAUGAAAGUUUAUUGGGUUUUCUUCUGUUUGUGAAGAACACAAAUAACUAAUCAAACAAUCAAUGUAAAAAAAGAGUUUAGAGCCUUUUUAAGUAAUUGGCCAAUUUCAUUUUUCGAUCUUAAAUGACACUCCACUUACUUGAUGAAAUGCGGUAUCAGUAUGUGCGACGUUGUGUAAAUUGAAAAGGAGUGAAGGGGAAAUAAUUCAAUUGAAUACAAAAUUAGGGUGUAGACAACUAAUAAAUUGUUUAUCUCUAAUGAACCAAAAUCGAUUAAUAAACUGUAUUUAAUUAAUGAGUUAUCUCCAAUGAAUAUAAAAUUCGUGUCUCCACUAAUUAUUAUAUAUAAAAUUAAAUAUUAAGUUUGGUUCUGGUUGUGGUUUUUGAACUAGAACUGAAGUAGAAUCAAAAUCAAAUGGUUCUCGGUUCAAAUAAGUAAAAUCACUAAUUUUUUUGAUAGAACUGAACCGAACCACUUGGUUUUGUUUGGUAUUGGUUUGGUCUGGACAUUUUGUCCAUCCCUAAUUUCACUCUAUAUGUGAUGAAAAAAAUAAAUAAAGAUAAGAUGAAUCAUACAACCUUAAUAUUAAAAUUUGAAAAAAUUGCAGUCACAAUACUAAACCUUUAAUUUAAUAUCAGAUUAGAUCCAAACAUUUCAUUUGUGUCACUCAUGAUAUCAAACCUUUAAGAAAUUCUCGCUUCGAGUCCAAAUAGAUGAAAAUUGUUAGUUUGACUGUUAGUUGCCUAGAUAAUUGAUUUGACAAUAAUUUUAACUAAUUUUAAAAAGUUAAAAGGGUAACUUUAUAUUUUUUUGUAAUAAAAUAACUAAAAUAAAAAACCAAAUAACUUUUCUUCACCACACCCACUCCACUACUAGACAGCUCCAUCGCACCCACCCAAAGCCAACAUCACCUCCGUUGCCUCCACCUUCAUCACACCACAACAUCUCUACCUCAUAUACACAGCCAACACAACCCAAUUGUCCACAAGAUAAGGUUCGGCUUUUGACAUAAAAAUGCAAUUUGAGAAUAGAAAAAUAUACAAGGUGAACAAGUUGUACGGUGAACAUUCGUACCACCGCCACCAUCUGACUGCCAUCUUCGCCAUCAUUUUUUCCUCACUACCAUUACCACUUUCAUUCACUAGAACCACCAACAGUGGCGGUGGCGGUAACGCUAGAAAAACUAAAGGAAACCAUCCAUUUGGAUUCCAAGCGAGAAUUUUUGAAAAAUUUGUAACCGUGGGUGCACAAAUGAAAGAUUUGAGUCAAGUCCGCUAUUAUGUUUGGUGCCGUGGCUACAAUUUUAUCUUAAAAUUUAGUUUGAAAGCUAAAUAAAUCAAGUUCAAAAUUAUAAAACCUAUCUAUGAUAAGCCUGAUUUGAAACAUCUUUAAUUUCCAUUACGCUAAAUUAUAUACCGAAGAAUCCAAUUUGUCAAUAGGUUUAUUUAUUUUAAUCGAAUUCAAUUUAACAAAUAUAUCAAAAAUUUCUUAUUUACACUAAUUAUAUAUCACAAGUAAAAUUUCACAAAGACGGGGCAUUUGGAUUGCUUUCCCUUCAUGUAUUUCGGUUCUAUUCCUUUUCUCAUCCACUUUAGAAGGUCCAAAUCAUUUGUUUGUCUAUUUAUCAUAUCUUAACAUACUUUAAAGAUAAGUGGUGGUGGGAUUUACACAACUCUUCAUACUUUAAAGCAACUUUAUUUUAAGACAAAUGAUAGGAUAUGACAUGUAAUGAUGAAUGUGGGGCCCUUUCAAAACCACUCUAUUUUCUUUUGGGACAAAAAAUAUUGAUCUUUUAAGAGAAUGUUUCAAAUGUGUGAUUAUGGGCUCAGAGAUUGCAUGGAUCCUUAAUUGUCUUCUUAGCUUUUGAAUCACAAAAAAGUGAACUUAUUUUCUAGUCAUUCAUCAUGAUAUGUCAAAGAUUAUACCUACAAACAAGAAUGCUUGAAUUUUUUACUCCUUAUUUUUGGAUCAAAACGACAAAAAGAUAAUCAUUAUUCUUUGAAAGUUUAGUUGCAGUGAAAAUUUUUCUUAAGCAAGUUAAGAGCUAUGUAAAAAUUUAGAUUUUGAAUUUCUUAGUCAUAAGUAUAGGUGUCGUUCAAAUUUGAACUUAGCUCUUGUUUGGUACCCUUUUAAGUUAUGAUUUUAGCAUGGCCUCAACUUUAGAGGGUUAUGAUCAAGUGAAAAUUUUUGACUUGAAAGGCAUUGUUUCACAUGCCAAUACCCUCAUCUUCAAACACUAAUGAUUUUGUCCUCCACUAGGGAUAAAAUGAUGAAUAAAAAGUCCUAUUCUCUAACAAAAAAGUAGAUCGUUUGCUUUGUACGAUUCAUUUGUACGUUUGUACAUAUACAGUUUUGAACAUGAGUUGAAAUUACGGUUUGACUUUAUGUGAAUAAAAAGUAAUUUUUAAGUUACUAAUAAAAAUGUUAGAUGAAUACAGAGAAAGUAAUAUAAAGCUUUAGUUGGUCGAUCAAAAUUCUCAUCUCAUUUUUUUUUUCCUGAAUAUCUUUGGCUAGGCCUAACCUGUAUAUACACUUACUAUGUGGAUUAUCUAUGUUAAACUAGUAAAAAUUCAUAUAUAAUGAAACUAUAAAAACAAAAAGAAAAAAAAAAAAGAGAGAUUCAUCCACUGAAUUAUUUUUCCAAACAGCAUUUAAUCAGAUUGAACACUAAUGAAUUCCUAGAAUAGCAGACAAAAUCAUUGCAUCUUUGGAAUAUACCUUUCUUUUUUCUAGUUUUACUUUUAGUUAAUUUUCAAUUUUGGUCUUAUAAAAAAGGAGAUAUAAGUAGUUGAUUUUAAAGAAUAAUGUUAUUUGUACAUAAUGAAAUUACGUUAUGAUAUUCAUAUAGAUUACCUGUCAAAAA
rnacentral:lncRNA from 1 species